rnacentral:lncRNA from 1 species
UUUAGCAUCUUUGGUACAAUCUAUAUUUUCGCGAAAUGGAUCAUAAUAAAAUGGAUUUUAGGUAUCUAGGGAAGAUUCACUUGGAAGUAACUAUUUCCUAGAUACCUAUGGUACUUCACGGUUGAAUGAAUCAAAAAAUAUCUAAAAAAGACCUAAAAUUAAUGAUUUAUCAAUGGGUAAUGUUGCUCCAAUACCUAACCAAAGAGCUACUACAGUACCGAUUAAAAAAAGGUCGUAGCUACUGGGCGGCGAAAUGGAUUUUGGAAUUUAUUGACAUUCUCUAGAAAAGGUAUUGCAAACGGAUCUGCCGGUUCACCAAUCAUUGAUGGCUCGAGAACCGCUAAACCUACAUUACAUGCAAUAGUACCUAGAAUUACUACUGGAAAAAUAUAUAAAAGAUCGUUGGGCCGUGCGGGUUCCCCGUAAUAAUUAUGUCCCAUCCCUUUAGCUAAUUUAGCUCUUAAUACAGGAUCAUUUAAGUCUGGUUUCUUUGUUAUUGGGAUAGGUGAACUCUUUAGGAUCCAUCCCCCAAAGGAACCGGACAUGAGAAUUUAUCAUCAUCCGGCUCGAGCAAGAGUGAAAGAAAUAAGACCGCGGAAGAUCCUUAAUAGAAUUAAGGUUUAUAAUGACUCAAUGACUCUAGGCAAGAAAAGCUUUAUCAGAUUCUCUUUUCCGAAGUUGCACCUACAACUACUCAUUGAAAAUAAUCCUAUUCUUAUGGGUAAAUGCUCAAUAUCCAAGUGGGCUUACAAAUUUGAUCAUGAUCAAUUGCUUUGUGGAUUGUCUCAUGUCUCUUGAUUAGUUGGUAUUUAUCCCCUCAAUAUCGCAAGUUUCUUACCUCCAAACAAAAUAUUUACUUGUUACUAAUAAAAAAUCAAAAAGUUUAGCCUACAUUCUUCCUUAGAUCCCUUCUUUUACUCCGAUAGUAUUGCGGAUCACAAUCGAUGCAAAGAAAAUGAAUGCAUUUCCAUACUAUAAUAAAAAGGUAAGUGUAAUAAAUAGAGAACUGGAUCAUGUCACAUGACUUAUUCCAUUUCUACUCUAUGGGAUCUUACGGAGCCUGUUCAUGGAUGACAUGGUUGCGAUAUGAUCAUAGAAGAUAUUCUCCUCAAGUGAACCAGCCUAUCCUUCCUAGGUAGGGGACUUACAUGUUGAUUGGAUGCGGAGACACCUUUGGUUGUGAAUUCUAAUGUGGCAGAUCCAAUUCUUUAUCUGCAUGGCCAAAUCAAUAAUUCAAGUCACACACUCCCAUAAUCCGCCUUUUUUCUUUCGUAAAAUUAACUUCAACUAUUUGUAUUGUAUAAAAAUACUUUGGAGUUGAAGAGAAGUAUCCAAAUGACAUGUGUUAUUUUACAAUAACCCAUGCUUGUAGCAAUGAAAUACCAAAACCUACCCGAUAUGAUAUAUGAUAAUUAUAAUUCUCUAUGAUAUGCCUUCCCUAUAAAGGACCCGAAAUACCUUGCUUACGUAUCAUUGGAAAGUGCAUUAACAUAAAUUCGGCAGUAAGCAGAGGCAGUACAAAGGUAUGUCAACUAUAAAAACGAGUCAAAGUGGAUUGGCCCACACUAGCACUUCCGCGUAAUAACUCCACUAAAGGCGAUCCUAUUACCGGAAUGGCGUCAGGUACACCUGUCACAAUUUUGACUGCCCAAUAGCCAAUUUGAUCUCAAGGCAAAGAAUAACCAGUUACACCAAAUGAUGCAGUCAAAACAGCCAAAACCACACCUGUGACCCAAGUUAAUUCACGGGGUUUUUAAAAUCCCCCUGUGAGAUACACACGAAAUACAUGCAGGAUUAUCAUUAAAACCAUCAUACUUGCUGACCAUCGAUGAACUAAUUCAUUAACCAACCAAAGGUGGCCUCGGUCAUUAUGUAUUGAACCGAGGAAAAAGCCUCUGUAACGGUUGGUCGGUAGUAAAAAGUCAUAGCAAAACCGGUAGCGACUUGUACUAGAAAACAAGUAAGUGUAAUUCCCCCUAAACAAUAAAAUAUGUUGACAUGGGGAGGAACAUAUUCCCCCUGAAUCUCAAGACGUUCCUCAAACCAAUCAUAUACUUUAUUGAGAUAGGUAACUAACCCGAGUCCCCCUCUAAGAGCCGUAUAUGAAAAUUUCAUCUCGUACGGCUCAAGCAGAAACACAAAAAUUUUCAAUGAAUAUUAGAAAAAAGGUUCAAAACUUCAUCAGCCACUGAAUUGGGUCGAUUUGCCUUGAAGAUAUCAAAUAAGAAAAAUCCGGAAUAUCUUCUUUGUGAUGAUAAUGCCAAAAAAUCUCAAGUUGGCGCGUCUUUCUUUCUUCCUUUCCCUUAUGUUGGUCAUUAGAGACUUCUUGACUUUUCCCUUCCCUAUAAAGGAUUUGUUUUUUUAUGCGUAAUAUAGAAAUUAUCUUGUCGAGAUCCUAUGAAUCAGUUCAAUUAAAACCUUAGAUUCAUACUAGAGCCACAAUGAUUUAGUCUCAAGCUAAACAAAAGGCAAGGGUUCUUCGAAUAAGAACCGCUUGAUAAUCAUUUGUUGAAUCAGUGUAAUGACUCGACAAAAUCGAGAGAAAAAAAGUUGUCUUUUGGGCAAACAAAAUUGGAAGGAAGAAAAUUUCUUUUUUAUUUUUAUUUAAGAACUACUUGAAUUUUUCAGUCUGGUUGCGAGGUCUUAAUAGUGAGUAUGAAUCAUAGUUCCAUUUUUUUUAUCCACUCUAUCUAUUUCGUGUUCCAGGUACUAGAAUAAAUAAUAUCCGACGAAUUAGAAUCAUCUUGGUAGAGAUAACAGGCCCUUUCUAUGAAUUAUCAAUAGGAUCAAUUCUAACAAGUCACACAAUCAUAUUCCAGAGAUACCGAAACAAAAAAAUUCUGCGGUCGAACUACCAUAAUAUCUAGAAAUGUAGAUCUUAAACUAGAAAGGCUUUUUUGGAUGGAAUAACUCUGACUUCCUAGUUUUAGUUAGUAGAAACAUAAUUGGUUAAAAUUCCAUCCAGUAAAACGGAAGAAUUAUAAAUUUCUAAAAUGAUAGAUAGGAAUAUAGCGAAUAAAGCCAUUGCGAUCCCCAUAAAAGGAGUAGUCCCCCAACCCGGGGCGACUUUCCCAUAUUCCGAAUUCAAGGGUUUCAGUAAACUACCUGCACCAGUUCGUUUUGGCCUAGGUUUAGAACUAUCUUCAACGGUUUGUGUAGCCAUAAAUUCUAUUUAAUCAUUGGUGUUGACUUUGUAUACUAUUCCGUUGUAGUUGUAAAUACACGAUCUUUUCGUAGAUCCAUUGUAAUCUUGAAAUUCUAAAAAAAUGGAAACAACAACUUUAGUCGCCAUCUCCAUAUCUGGUUUACUUUUAAGCUUUACUGGGUAUGCCUUAUAUACCGCGUUUGGGCAACCCUCUCAACAAUUAAGAGUUCCAUUCGAAGAACACGGAGACUAAUUUAAGUAAGAAGUCCCCUAGAUAGGGGGACUACUUACUUAAAUGAAAUUAUUUUAUUCUUUUAGUUGGAGUUGGUGGAACCUUAGGUGGUUCUCGGAAGAAGAUAGCGAAAAAAAAUUAUCCCUAAAGUCGAAACUAAAAGGAACGUAUAAACCAAUGCUUCCAUAGAUUCGAUCCUGGUUUAUUUACAAUUAUAACUUCCACACCUAUUCAUUUGUCAUUUGGGAGAAUUUCCCAUAUAAAGAAAGAAAAAGAGUCAAAGAAAGGAUGGGAGAUGUUUCCCAUGUCAAAUCAAAAAAGAGAGGGAAAGAUACUAUAACAAUGUGUAUCAGACUGCCUGUUUCCUUGUAGUUGGAUCUCCCACUUUUUGGAAUGUUCCAAAUUCCACUUGAGCAUCCAAAUCUGGAUCAAUACCAGCAAAAACAUCUCGGAACAAUGUUCUAGCACCAUGCCAAAUGUGUCCGAAAAAGAAGAGCAAAGCAAAGGUAGCAUGACCAAAAGUGAACCAACCCCUUGGACUGCUGCGAAAAACACCAUCAGAUUUCAAAGUAGCCCGGUCUAAUUCAAAAAUUUCCCCUAAUUGAGAACGCCUCGCAUAUUUUUUAUAGUAGCAGGAUCAGAAUAACUUACUCCAUUAAGUUCGCCACCAUAGAACUCCACCGUUACACCUACUUGUUCAACACUAUAUUUGGAUUCUGCUCUUCUAAAAGGAACGUCUGCUCUAACAAUUCCCUCCUCAUGUACCAAAACAACCGGAAAUGUUUCAAAAAAAGUAGGCAUACGGCGUACAAAAAGCUCACGUCCUUAUUUAUCUCUAAAGACGGGAUGUCCUAACCAUCCAACAGCUAUUCCAUCCCCAUUGUCCAUUGAGCCUGCUCUGAAUAAUCCCCCUUUUGCCGGAUUAUUACCAAUAUAAUCAUAAAAGGCUAAUUUUUCGGGAAUUUUAGACCAAGCUUCUGAUAAACUAAGAUUUUCGGCUAAACCAUUGCUAACUCUUCGAUAUAUUUCUUGCUGAAAGUAUCCCUGAUCCCACUGAUAACGAGUAGGCCCAAAUAAUUCGAUUGGGGUCGUUGCUGACCCAUACCACAUAGUUCCAGCAACUACGAAAGCUGCAAAAAAACAGCAGCGAUACUACUGGAAAGUACAGUUUCAAUAUUGCCCAUACGUAAUCCUUUAUAUAGACGUUGAGGCGGACGGACACUAAGAUGGAAUUAGCCCGCUAAUAUACCCAAUGUACCCGCAACAAUAUGAUGAGAAGCUAUUCCCCCCGAAACAAAAGGAUCAAAACCUUCUGCACCCCACGCUGGAUUUACAGCUUGUAUUUUUCCAGUUAGUCCAUAAGGAUCGGAUACCCAUAUCCUAGGACCAUACAAACCCGUUACAUGAAAUGCCCCAAAGCCAAAGCAAGCCACCCCUGCAAGAAAUAAAUGAAUUCCAAAGAUCUUGGGCAAAUCCAAAGAGGGUUUUCCCGUCCGCUCAUCAGAGAAUAUUUCUAGGUCCCAAUAUACCCAAUGCCAGAUCGCUGACAAGAAACACAAGCCAGAAAACACAAUAUGCGUACCUGCCACACCUUCAUAACUCCAAAUACCCGGAUUUGUUACAGUUCCUCCUGAAAUACUCCAACCACCCCACGAAUCCGUUAUUCCUAAACGAGUCAUGAAGGGAAUUACGAACAUACCUUGUCUCCACAUUGGAUCCAGAACAGGAUCAGAGGGAUCAAAAACUGCUAAUUCGUAUAAAGCCAUUGAGCCAGCCCAACCAGAAACUAGAGCUGUGUGCAUUAUAUGCACCGCAAGCAAUCGACCCGGAUCAUUCAAUACGACAGUAUGAACACGAUACCAAGGCAAACCCAUGGAAAUACCCCUUUAGCAAAGAAAAUAGACACGAUGUCGCUUUAUUUUAUCGCAUUGAAAAAGACUAUCCAUAUCCUAUGUACCUAACCCUUCUAGGGGAUUCUGUGUCAGAAAGCGCGAAUAUUUAUUUCAUUCCAUUAAAAAUAAGAAGCCAAUUCUGUUCAUAAGAAGAAAGAGAAGCAGAUCUAUUCUAUACUCGAUAAGUGCCAAUAUGCAAUGGGUAACUUGGCCAAUUUGGAAAAAACGAAGAAUAGAUCGCUACCCCUCUUUGUUUAGCAUUCGAAUCACCCAUUCCUUUUUCUUUAUUCAAUCUGUCUUACAUUCCUUAUAUGUAUAACCUUUCAAUCUACGUAUUAAUAGAAUCUAUAGUAUUCAUAUAGAAUAAGAAUAAAAAUUAAGAUAAUAAACUGCGGAUUCUUUCUUUCUGUUCCAUUCUUACGUUUCCAUAUUAAAGUGUGGUUUUCUUACUUAAAUUUAAUAAUAUUAAUCUGAUAUGCCCAUUGGUGUUCCAAAAGUACCUUACCGGAUUCCUGGAGAUGAAGAAGCGACUUGGGUUGACUUAUACAAUGUUAUGUAUCGAGAAAGGACACUUUUUCGAUCAAGAGAUUCGUUGCGAGAUCACGAAUCAUAUUACAGGUCUCAUGGUAUAUCUGAGUAUAGAAGAUGGAAUUAGUGAUAUAUUUUUGUUUAUAAACUCCCCAGGCGGGUGGCUAAUCUCAGGAAUGGCUAUUUUUGAUACGAUGCAAACGGUGACACCAGAUAUAUAUACAAUAUGCCUCGGAAUAGCCGCCUCCACGGCGUCCUUCAUUCUGCUUGGAGGAGAACCCACCAAGCGUAUAGCAUUCCCUCACGCGAGGAUUAUGCUUCACCAACCUGCUAGUGCUUAUUAUCGGGCAAGGACACCAGAGUUUUUACUAGAAGUAGAAGAGUUACACAAAGUUCGCGAAAUGAUCACAAGGGUUUAUGCAGUAAGAACAGGCAAGCCUUUUUGGGUUGUAUCCGAAGACAUGGAAAGGGAUGUUUUUAUGUCAGCAGACGAAGCCAAAGCUUAUGGACUUGUCGAUAUUGUAGGGGAUGAAAUGAUUGACAAGCACUGCGAUACUGAUCUAGUGUGGUUUCCAGAAAUGUUUAAGGAUUGGUAGUGUCCGGAUUUCUUGUAAAGUUAUUUCACAGCUAAAUUCGUGUUUUCCUUGAUUUAAUAGAAAAUAGAAAGACUUCAUGAUGAGCAAUCAUCAGGUUAAGAUGGAUCUAAACCAAUCCAUUUUUUUCUAUAGACAUACAACAUGCCGACGGUUAAACAACUUAUUAGAAACGCAAGACAGCCAAUACGAAAUGCUCAAAAAACGGCCGCGCUUAAAGGAUGCCCUCAGCGUCGAGGAACAUGUGCUAGGGUGUAUGUGCGACUCGUUCAGAUCAUGACUUCAAACAAAUAUAAAAAAAAUUGAAGUAUCCAUGAUUAGUACCAAUGAAUAGGAUAUAGCUUCUCUAUCCUAGAUUUCUAUGGUAUAUGGAAUUUAUGGUUUCCUUUGGUGCAAAUCCAAUUAUCUAAAUUGGAAAUAAGAAGCAAUUCUCCCAUUGGUAGCAAAUGGUUAUCCAUUAAGCGGAGGAAAUAGUAAUAAAAAGAAAUAGGCUUAUGCUCCUUUAUCUUAAAACAACGGACUAACAGGGUCAGCUACUUAGCCAACUUUCAUAAUUAAAUACCAUCACUGUAUGGAUAACUCUUAUUGUGAAAAGAGCUAUUUACACUAUAAUGGAUAGGUAGAGCCAAAGAAUGUGGACUAUACAAGUUCGCAAUACCUUUUGAUGAAAGAAAGGGCUCCGGUGUAUAGAGAGGGCCUCACCGUUUAAAAGGGAACCAUAGAAACGAUGGAACCCACUAUUUUUUUAGUAUUAUUAGAAUGAAUUCGUUAUUUCGUAUAGAAAUAACUGAACGAAGUGGAAUAAAAAAUCAUGGUUGGGAAGGUUACUAUAGCAAAAGCCAUUGGAAUUAAUAUUUUAUAUAUCGGAAUAAUUAGUUUUGUUAUUAACGAGAAAAGGGUGGCUAAAAGAAGAGAAAUCAUUAGUUAUUCAUUAAGGUUAAUUUGAUUCAAUGACCAGAGUUCCGCGAGGAUAUAUAGCCGGAGACGACGAACAAAAAUGCGUUCAUUUGCCUCAAACUUUAGAGGGGCUCAUUUAAGACUUAAUCAAAUGAUUACCCAACAGGUAAAAAGAGCUUUUGUUUCCUCUCAUCGAGAUAGAGGUAGGCAAAAGAGGGAUUUUCGUCGUUUGUGGAUCACUCGGAUAAACGCAGCAACACGGGUAUAUAAAGUAUUCGAUAGUUAUAGUAAAUUAAUACACAACCUGUACAAGAAGAAAUUGAUUCUUAAUCGUAAAAUGCUUGCACAAGUAGCUGUAUCAAAUCCAAAUAAUCUUUACACGAUUUCCAAUAAAAUAAAGAUCAUCAAUUAAAGGUAUAAAUAAAGUAAUAUACUGGAAUAAUAGAAGAUGAAUUCCCAGAGAGGGAACUCCGGGAAGAUACAACAACUUAAGAUUAAGUGGUAGGAAUCAACGAGCUGGAUUACUUUCUUUAUAAUAUAUAUAGGCCGGGCCCUUUCGAAUUCGAAUAAAACAUCAAUAAUCGGAACUUAAGUUCCGGUUGUUGUUUCUUAAAUUUUGGUUGUUGUUUCUUAAGUUUCGAUUGGAAUUGUACUUUUGCGUUAAUUGAGGAAUAUGUCUAUUUUUUCUGGGUCUAGAACCUGUAAUUAUUGAAAUUGACUGGGCUUGAAAUUGCUUUUCGUUCUCAUAGUUACGAAACGGUAAGAAAGAUAAAAUACGAGCCUGUUUUAUAGCAAGAGUAAUUAAUCGUUGUUGUUUCAAGGUUAAUCUAUUUAUUCGUCUCGAUAAUAUUUUUCCUUCUUCACUAAUAAUCUAUUAAUUAAACUCAUGUUUCUAUAUCAAUUCGAUCUCCCGGGCCAAUCCGGGGACGCCUACGAAAAGGUUGUUUAGAUUUACGAAAAGGUUGCUUGAAUUUACGAAAAUUUGCUUGGAUUUACGAAAGGGUUGCUUGGAUUUAUUAAAAGUUUGCUUGGAUUUACUAAAGGGUUGCUUUGAUUUAAGAAAAGGUUGUUUAGAUGUAUACAUGAUUUAUUCCUUAUUUAAAAUUUGAAAAUUUGAAAAUUCACUUCUUUAUUUUAUUAAUUUAGGAUCCAGAAGAAGUAGUUUUUCUUUGAUCCAUAUCUUAUUUGAUUCAUAUUAUAGUAUAUGAAUACCCUCUAUACAUAUGAAAUAAUAUCUACCGGAAAUCAGAUGAGUUGAUUUGUAUUUUGUAUUCUAUACUAUGUUUUCUUUAUAUAUUAAAUAUGAAGUUCUUACUCUUUCUGUUGUUUGGAAAGAUCGAACACACGAUGUUCCUAUUUCUUUAUUUCAUGAUGAGUCGUAUGCUUGCGACAAUAACGACAAAAAUUUUUGAAUUCUAAUUGUCCGGGUGUAUUGUGGCGAUUCUUUUGAGUACUAUAUCUAGAAAUCCCCGUCGAUUCCUCAUUGGCACCUUUUCGAACACAACUAAUGCAUUCCAAAAUAACUCUGAUUCUAACAUCUUUUCCCUUGGCCAUGAACCUCCUUUUGUUUUCGGAUUGACUUAACUUAAUUCUUCUACUUAUUCUUUUAUUCUUCUAUUUUGAAUCCGAAGAAGAAGAAUAAAAUUCAUUAGAAUAAUUUUUUUAUUCUUAAAUUAAGUAAUAAAAAAUAGAGAAAUAAUUAAAGAAUACAAUCCUUGUCGAAUUAGCAAAGAUUUUGGUUCGAAAUCCUUUCAUUUAAUUAGCCAGCCCCGCCUUUUCUAUGCUCUGAUUUCUGAGGUCUUAUUUAGCUUGGGUACCCCUUUAAAUUGAAUUUCUAUUUUCAAAAAUGGGGUUUACCAAAUUUUUAAUGACUCUGAGGUUCAAUCCAAUCCAUCUUUUCUUUCUUUUUCCUUCCGAUACUAAAAAAAGAUUGAAAAGGAUCAAAUUUUGUCAUAUCACGAAGAAAUCUAUCCCUCCCAUAGCAAUAACUAGAAUUAAAAAAAAGGGAAUGACAAAGCAUUUGGGAAUAAACGAUUAAUUUCUAUCAAUAAACCUGCUAAAGCACCAAACCAUAGAGUACUUAGCACGGGUGCUACAGAGAGAUAUGUUUUUAUAUCCCGCAUUGAAAAUCCUCCUUCCUUGUUGGAAUACAUAUAUGAUCAUAAACUCUUGCCCAAGAUUGUUAUGCUAUAUAUAAAAUGAACCAUAUUGACGAAAUUUUCCUAUCCCUAAAAAAGAAAAAGAUGACCCCUUCUUCCUAUAUAUUAGCAAGGAAAAGUAAUCCUUCCUUUAUAGGCGAAAUUAUAUUGGAUUUUAUAUGUAUAUAAUUCCUUAAUUAUAUGAGACCAAAAAGAAGAAAUGACACGAGGGUUCUAUAUAUAGAUAGAGAAAGAAAGAAGAAGAAAAUAGAAAGAAGAAGAAAAUUAUGAUGUGGAAAAGAAGACAGGAAUUGAGUACAAUGGCAUUGUACAACAAUUUAAUUUGGAAAAGGGAUGUAGCGCAGCUUGGUAGCGCGUUUGUUUUGGGUACAAAAUGUCACAGGUUCAAAUCCUGUCAUCCCUACCUAUUACUUCUUUCUUCUUUAUAGGCAGUAGCGACGAGAUCAAUUAAAGUAAAGUGGGUAUAACUUGAAUUUGUGGAGACUAUACGUACGUGAGAUACAUUAGGAAUAGAAAAAUAUUUUCUUUUUGAAUGAAUGAAAGUGCUCUUAGUUCAGUUCGGUAGAACGCGGGUCUCCAAAACCCGAUGUCGUAGGUUCGAAUCCUGCAGAGCGUGAUUCCAUCUAUUUUAUGUCGAAGCAGAGUAAAAUAACUUAACAAAAUUGAAUUGUAACUCCAAUUUCAAUUUGACCUCCUCCCUGGUCUGGAGGAGGUCAAUAAAAAAAAUGACUCAAUCAAAGAUCCAACUGAUCCCCACGCCUGUAUUGCAAAUACGCAGUCACGAAUAAUCCCGCUAAAGUAAUAGGAAUUAGGCCUAAGACGAUUCCAAAUAGAAAAACUUCAAUCAUUUCGAUUUGUUCGAGGGGAUAAAGAAAGAGGUACGAUCUAUCCCUAAAUAGUACUCUAAAUUAUCCACGAAUCUCAAUGACCAAGAAAAGAAUUCCUAAUUAGUCUGGAAAAGAGUCGUAGAAUGCCAGGAAUCCCAAAGAAAGAUUUUUCUUUUCUGAAUUAUAAUUAUUCAGUCAAUGCAAAUAAGGCGUAUCUUGUUCAAGCCAAUAAAUAGAGCUGGGGUUAUAGUUAAAGCAGCCAGUAGAAAACCAAAAUAACUAGUUAAAGUAAGCAUGAAAGAGUUAAAUUCCAUUUUUUUACUACACUACAUAUGUUGGUAAAGCAUUUACCUAAGUUAUGGAAAAUUCAUAAUUCAUCAGUUAUUUUAGAUAAUACUAAAAACAAGGUAGAGUAAGAUACAGAAGUGUAAAAGAAAGUGGAUUCAUCAGAUGAUACAUGAGUCCCUAAUUCCGAAUCAAGAGAUUUGUUGUGGAAUUUGUCAAUUGAGUAAAUUAAUAAUAUUAAGAACUAGAUCAUCUAACCCCAUUGAAUUUCAUUUUUUCAUUCAAUUUUCAGGGAAAUUUUUGAAUAAGAGAUAAAUAAACAAUUCAAUUUGAAAAAAAACUUCUUUCUAUUUUGGAUAAUUUCUUUUUCAAUAGGACCCUCUUUUUGGAGUGAACGAUCGAAUAUUCCCCUAUUCCUUCUUAUUUUAACUGAUUGUAUUCCAUAUGGAAUAAGAGGAGAACAAAAGCAUUCCACGACCUGCCAAGGGGCUGUUAAAAAAACUCUUCCUUGAAUUUACUUUAUUUUUAUAUCUUUUUCGAACUCCAACCAAAGUAGAUUCGAAGACGAGUCACUUCAAUUAUCCUUUUAAGUUCUAUUCUAUCUUCUGCCUUUCCCUAUUUCAUCUCGUAAAGUUCUGCGCUCGCAGUUUGGUCAGGAAAGUUAGACCUAAUCCAACAAACAAUACAAGGAUGAAUUACGAAUUAUGAAAGGAUAGAUUUCACAUAUACUUGUCCUUGUAUUGUGUCAGUAUGAGAAUAUCCUUCCUAAAUUAUUUAUCCAAACCUAUUGAUCAUUAACUUAGAUUUUCCCAAGAUUUUGGCUGCUAUUCCGAAUUACUCUAUUAUUCCGAAGCCAAUGAAAAGUAAGUAGAACCUACAAAAAUGGGGUUUUCUAUUGAUGCCUUGAAUAACAUAUAGCUUACAAGGAUGAAAUAUCAGUAAUUUUCUAUUUACUGGUCGAUCCCAUCUUUUACGGAAUCAAUUCCUUUUUUGAAUGUACAAAAAUUUUGGGAGUUCAGCAUGUCUGGAAGCACGGGAGAAUGUUCUUUUGCUGAUAUUAUUACCAGUAUUCGAUACUGGGUUAUUCAUAGCAUUACUAUACCUUCCCUAUUCAUUGCGGGUUGGUUAUUUGUCAGUACGGGUUUAGCUUAUGACGUGUUUGGAAGUCCUAGGCCAAACGAGUAUUUCACGGAAAGCCGACAAGGAAUUCCGUUAAUAACCGACCGUUUUGAUUCUUUAGAACAACUCGAUGAAUUUAGUAGAUGCUUUUAGGAGGCCCUCAAUGACCAUAGAUCGAACCUAUCCUAUUUUUACAGUGCGAUGGCUGGCUAUUCACGGACUAGCUGUACCUACUGGUUUUUUCUUGGGAUCAAUAUCAGCAAUGCAGUUCAUCCAACGAUAAAACAAAUUCCAACUAUAGAACUAUGACACAAUCAAACCCGAAUGAACAAAAUGUUGAAUUGAAUCGUACCAGUCUAUACUGGGGUUUAUUACUCAUUUUUGUACUUGCUGUUUUAAUUUCCAAUUACUUCUUCAAUUGAGAGAAAGAAAGAGACUAAUAAGAAUUCUCUUAUCCCAUUUGGAAGGAUACCAUCCUUAUAACUACCCAUGACUGUUUUUGUCUCUAGCAUGACCAAUUGAUAAAAUGUGGAGGAAAGUAGGGGAAAUGGCCGAUACUACUGGAAGAAUUCCUCUUUGGCUGAUAGGUACUGUAGCUGGUAUUGCUGUGAUUGGUUUGGUAGGUGUUUUCUUUUAUGGUUCAUAUUCUAGAUUGGGUUCAUCUCUAUAGUAAUCGGAGGGACCAGAUUGUAAACAUGAAAAAGUAGGAGCUUAGCGGGUCCUUACCCCCCUUUAUCUGAUUAGAGCGGAAAGGACCCGCGGAAUUUUUACUCUUAUAACGCGAAUUGAAUCUAUUCGAUUCACUCUUAUGAAGCAACAUGAAAAAGAGAUCACUCGAGGAUCCAAUAUCUUAUUCCACGAAGGAAGUAUCCUGAAAAUCCUUGAUUUAGUUUCGACUAAUAAACUAAUAAAACCUUAAUCAAAACUAUUCAACUAUUCAACUAGUUCCCGGUAAGAAAUAUAGUAAAUUUGAAGUUGAACUUAAUUAAACAAGCCAAGCAAUUUGCUCACAAUCACAAGAAAUUUUUCCCCCGCCAUAUUUUCUUCCCCUCUGUUUGUCCACUACCUCGGCUAAACCUAAGCAAAAGAAAAAGAGGUCCAAGAGACAGACCCGAAUAAAGAAGAAAUAGUAAUCUUUGACAAAUUAGGAAGAAAAAGGAUUCUUAUUUUGACAAGAAGAAUCGGCACAAGAAAAAGGCUUUUUCUUGUGCCGAAUAGACGAUUAAGAAGACCUGCAAUCCCUCCGAAAAGGAAGAAAUUUUAAUUUUAUUGUUCUCGCCUUUGCCUUGGAUUCUCUUCUUUUACAUGGGAUAUAAAUAAGGAAUUCCAGACAUCUCAUAAACAAAAAGCAGUCUAAACAAAAAAAGGAUUUCCAAAAUAGAUCAUAGAUAAUUCUAGCAAUUGCCAAUAAAUCGAGGCUUUUUACCAACUUGAUGGUAAGAAAUCCCGGGACCUAGAAAUGCAUUUCGUACAAUUGAACCUUUUCAAACUGUUUCUUUUUGAGAACCAAAAAAACUUGUGCCAAAAUAACGGAUGCGAAGAAGAACAAAAGGCCUUGGACACGUAAUGGAUCCUGAAGCAUGAUUUCUGCGUCCCCCUGACCAAAACCUCCCACAUUAGGAUUGCUUGUUAAUGGUUGAUCAAGCUUGAUGGAUUCCCCCUCUGAAACAAGAAGUUCUAGUCCGGGAGGUAUAAUAACAAUCACUUGGCGUCCAUCUGCUGCAUCAACUAUGGAUAUUUCAUACCCCCCCUUUUCUUUACGUAGUAUUUUUCUUACUAUACCUGUUGAUGUAGCAUUAUAGACUGUAUUGUUACUCUUGCUACCAUCAGGAUAGAUCUGUCCUCUUCCUCGGUUUCCCCCUACAUAUAUGGGAUAUUUUAAGAAAUGAGCAUCUUUCUUCGUAGCAGGAUCAGGGGAAAGAAUGGGAAAGACAAUUUCACUAUAUUUCUUACCGGGAACAGGGCCUAUCACAAGAAUGUUUUUUUUAUCGGGACGAUAACUCUGAAAAGCAAGAUUUCCUAUCUUUUCCUUUAACUCAGGGGAAAUACGAUCGGGCAGCGCUAAUUCGAAUCCCUCGGGCAAAAUAAGAACAACACCUACAUUCAACCAUCCCUUUUUCCAUUAGCAAGAACUUGUUUCAAUUGCAUAUCAUAAGGAAUUCGAAGAACUGCUUCAAAUACAGUAUCGGGAAGCACAGCUUGGGGAACUUCAAUAUCGACGGGCUUGCUAGCUAAAUGGCAAUUGGCACAUACAAUUCGUCCAGUUGCUUCUCGUGGGUUUUCAUAACCCUGCUGCACAAAAAUGGGAUAUGCAUUUGAAAUAGAUGUCCGAGUUAUUACGUAUAUCAUGAUCGAUACAGAAAUCGAUCGAGUUAUCUGUUCCUUUACCCAAGAAAAAGUAUUUCUAUUUUCCAUGUCCAAUCGCAGAUCCCAGAAUUUCUACAAUAAAUUAGAUAGGUAUCUAAUCUAAUCUAGUUCCCUAUACAUGAAUCUGUUGUCAUUCUACUGCAACAGUUGUACUGCAAUGAUGAAUACCUUAAAGUAGGUAUAAAUAGAAAGAAUUUUGCUAAAAUGGAAAAGGGCUUUCUUUCUAAAAAAAUAUGCUUGCUAAUUUGAUUAAUAUUAAUAUCGGGAGAUCAAAUGAAUUUAUGCUUCACUAAUUGAAUGAUAAAUGACUACAAGCGAAGGAGAUAGACGAUUUAAACAAAAAAAGACCCAAAAUUUCAAACAUGUAUCUAGAAUUACUGGAAAACUACAAACAAAAAUAGUGAAAAUAAGCUCGUUAGGAGCCCAUCCAAAAUCGUUGUAGACCCAACGAAUUACUAGUUCCCAACCACGGGUGGAGUGAAAUCCAACAAAAAAAUCAGUAACUAAAAGAAUAAAAAAAACUUUUAUUGAGUCAUUUAAAUUAUAGAAGAAUUCCUGAACCCAAGAAUUCAAAAUGACAAGUUCCUCUUUACCCAGAAAAAAAGAACCACUUAGAAUAGCCAAACAGAUUAUAUUUUUCGAGAAAUGCAAAAUGGUAUGGAGAUGAUCCUCAUUAUUUAUUUUGACCCAUUGUAUUAUUUCCUUGUGUAUUCCUGUAGGAGGUUUUUGUACAUGUGUCUUUAGUUUCCCUUUUAUCAUCUCGUCCAAGAGAGAAAGUUCUUCUAAUUCUAUGAAUCUUUCUAGAAUCCUUUUCUCUUGAAUAUCAGUUAAGAGAGUUUCGGAUUGCCUGGUAUUCCACCAAUUCUUAAUCCAAAGUUCCAAACGUUUGUUAAAUGAGGAAGAGACCCCCAAGGAAAAAGUACAAUAAAUACAAGAUAUAGUAAAGAAGGCAAUGCUUUAUUUUUUUUCAUUUUUGAUCCGUAAAUGGAGUUGUUAAUGAAUAUGCUUCAUUCGCUGACUCUAUUCCAUUCCCUGACUCUAUAUGAUGAUAUUUCUAUUUCAUGAUAUUUCUAUUUCUUUGAAGCAAAAACUAUAUAGGUUUGAUACCCUGUAUCUAUUCUUCUUUUUUGUAUAUUAGUUAGUAGUGGAAUUUCAGUGCAUUGGGUUCUUUCUUAGAUCUAGAUGGUAUGAAAUAGUGAAAUAGAAUAAAAAAAGCCCUUUCGGAUGAAAAAAGAAGAAUAGUAUGCAAUAUAUCUCACUUGGAUAAAAAAAAUUAAAAGCAAAUUUCUCUUAUCCUCGUUUGUUCCUUCCUUUAGAUAAAUACUUCAAAAUCCCCUUACAAUAACAAAUCCAAUUUACAAGGGACUUCCUCCCCGUGUUGAGAAAACUUUUCUUCGUCCAAUUCUUCUUUUCUUCAUUCAACUCAGUUCAAAAAAGAUACCUCAAAAUACUUCAAUUGGUACGCGCAAGAAAUAGGCCAAUUCGGCAGCUUUUUGUUCAAUUUCUCGUGGAGUAAAAAAUUUAUCAUCAGUACGAGUCAAGGGAAUGAUCCCCUGGCCCCGGAUUUCCAUAUAAAGAAUACGACGAGGAUAAAUACCCUCUUUAACCUGAAUUCUAAUUGAUUGGAUAUCCCGCAUAAGGAAUCGAAGGAAGACGCGACGUUUUAUUCCAGGGAAUCCCCAACGAAAAAUGCACACUAUUCCCUCUUUUCUAUCGAAUCGGUCAUAACCACUACCUACAUUCCACAAAAUAGUACACCACAAGUAGGAGCUAAUGAAUAGGCCUGCGAUUCCGUAGAAAGACAUCACGACCCCCUGCGGAAAAAAAAGAAUUUCUUGAGAUGGAAGUAUAGAUAUAAUAUUCUUACCAAGAUAACUGGAAAUCCCAACCGAUAAGAAUCCUAGUGAACCUAGAAAAAGCAUACAGGCCCAGAAAAAAUUACCCCUUUUUCGAGAACCUUUUAGAAGUUCUACCCAUAUGUGUUCUGAUCGCCAAUUCAUAUUAGAUAUACUAAAUCCAGCAGCGGUCGAUUGAAAUUGAGAGAAUAAGCUAAAUAAUUUUGACUUUACUUUUUUUGAUUCUGAAAUCGCCUUCAGCAACUAGUACUCCUGUGAAAUAAUAGGUUAGAUACAUUGACUUUCUAUUCAAAAAAUAUUCGUUGAUUCAAUUAAAAUAAAUAAAAUAAAACUCGCUAUACCUGGCUCUGCAUAUUCAUGCAUUUAUGCUCGUAGCCUAUAUCCGCAUCCAUAACCGUUUUUCAUUUGUGUGUAGAAAGUGUGUGUAGAAAAAGCCACAUACCCUACCAUAUUAUAUUACUUACACUAAAAAAUACAAUACAAUAGUCAAUAUUCCUUAUAAUAGAUAUACUUAAUUAUAUCAUAAGAAUCUUAAGAUAUUUUUCGACUAGAUAGAAAUAGUAAAUUUGAAUUGAGACACCUAUUCCAUGACGGAUUUAAACUUACCUUCUAUUUUCGUGCCUUUAGUAGGCUUAGUAUUUCCGGCAAUUGCAAUGACUUCUUUAUUUCUUUAUGUGCAAAAAAAUAAGAUUGUCUAGUAUUUUUUAGUGUAUGUAAUAUAAUAUGGUAGGGUAUGUGGCUUUUUCUACACACACUUUCUACACACAAAUGAAAAACGGUUAUGGAUGCGGAUAUAGGCUACGAGCAUAAAUGCAUGAAUAUGCAGAGCCAGGUAUAGCGAGUUUUAUUUUAUUUAUUUUAAUUGAAUCAACGAAUAUUUUUUGAAUAGAAAGUCAAUGUAUCUAACCUAUUAUUUCACAGGAGUACUAGUUGCUGAAGGCGAUUUCAGAAUCAAAAAAAGUAAAGUCAAAAUUAUUUAGCUUAUUCUCUCAAUUUCAAUCGACCGCUGCUGGAUUUAGUAUAUCUAAUAUGAAUUGGCGAUCAGAACACAUAUGGGUAGAACUUCUAAAAGGUUCUCGAAAAAGGGGUAAUUUUUUCUGGGCCUGUAUUCUUUUUCUAGGUUCACUAGGAUUCUUAUCGGUUUGGAUUUCCAGUUAUCUUGGUAAGAAUAUUAUAUCUAUACUUCCAUCUCAAGAAAUUCUUUUUUUUCCGCAGGGGGUCGUGAUGUCUUUCUACGGAAUCGCAGGCCUAUUCAUUAGCUCCUACUUGUGGUGUACUAUUUUGUGGAAUGUAGGUAGUGGUUAUGACCGAUUCGAUAGAAAAGAGGGAAUAGUGUGCAUUUUUCGUUGGGGAUUCCCUGGAAUAAAACGUCGCGUCUUCCUUCGAUUCCUUAUGCGGGAUAUCCAAUCAAUUAGAAUUCAGGUUAAAGAGGGUCUUUAUCCUCGUCGUAUUCUUUAUAUGGAAAUCCGGGGCCAGGGGAUCAUUCCCUUGACUCGUACUGAUGAUAAAUUUUUUACUCCACGAGAAAUUGAACAAAAAGCUGCCGAAUUGGCCUAUUUCUUGCGCGUACCAAUUGAAGUAUUUUUUUUGAACUGAGUUGAAUGAAGAAAAGAAGAAUUGGAAGAAGAAAAGUUUUCUCAACACGGGGAGGAAGUCCCUUCUAAAUUGGAUUUGUUAUUGUAAGGGGAUUUUUAAGUAUUUAUCUAAAGGAAGGAACAAACGAGGAUAAGAGAAAUUUGCUUUUAAUUUUUUUUUAUCCAAGUGAGAUAUAUCGCAUACUAUUCUUCCUUUUUCAUCCGAAAGGGCUUUUUUUUUAUUCUAUUUCACUAUUUCAUUCCAUCUAGAUCUAAGAAAGAACCCAAUGCACUGAAAUUCCACUAAUAACUAAUAUACAAAAAAGAAGAAUAGAUACAGGGUAUCAAACCUAUAGAGAUUUUGCUUCAAAGAAAUAGAAAUAUCAUCAUAUAGAGUCAGGGAAUGGAAUAGAGUCAGCGAAUGAAGCAUAUUCAUUAACAACUCCAUUUACAGAUCAAAAAUGAAAAAAAAGAAAGCAUUGCCUUCUUUACUAUAUCUUGUAUUUAUCGUACUUUUGCCUUGGGGGGUCUCUUCCUCAUUUAACAAAUGUCUGGAACUUUGGAUUAAGAAUUGGUGGAAUACCAGGCAAUCCGAAACUCUCUUAACUGAUAUUCAAGAGAAAAGGAUUCUAGAAAGAUUCAUAGAAUUAGAAGAACUUUCUCUCUUGGACGAGAUGAUAAAAGGGAAACUAAAGACCCAAAAUUUCAAACAUGUAUCUAGAAUUACUGGAAAACUACAAACAAAAAUAGUGAAAAUAAGCUCGUUAGGAGCCCAUCCAAAAUCGUUGUAGACCCAACGAAUUACUAGUUCCCAACCACGGGUGGAGUGAAAUCCAACAAAAAAAUCAGUAACUAAAAGAAUAAAAAAAGCUUUUAUUGAGUCAUUUAAAUUAUAGAAGAAUUCCUGAACCCAAGAAUUCAAAAUGACAAGUUCCUCUUUACCCAGAAAAAAAGAACCACUUAGAAUAGCCAAACAGAUUAUAUUUGUCGAGAAAUGCAAAAUGGUAUGGAGAUGAUCCUCAUUAUUUAUUUUGACCCAUUGUAUUAUUUCCUUGUGUAUUCCUGUAGGAGGUUUUUGUACAUGUGUCUUUAGUUUCCCUUUUAUCAUCUCGUCCAAGAGAGAAAGUUCUUCUAAUUCUAUGAAUCUUUCUAGAAUCCUUUUCUCUUGAAUAUCAGUUAAGAGAGUUUCGGAUUGCCUGGUAUUCCACCAAUACUUAAUCCAAAGUUCCAGACAUUUGUUAAAUGAGGAAGAGACCCCCCAAGGCAAAAGUACGAUAAAUACAAGAUAUAGUAAAGAAGGCAAUGCUUUCUUUUUUUUCAUUUUUGAUCUGUAAAUGGAGUUGUUAAUGAAUAUGCUUCAUUCGCUGACUCUAUUCCAUUCCCUGACUCUAUAUGAUGAUAUUUCUAUUUCAUGAUAUUUCUAUUUCUUUGAAGCAAAAACUCUAUAGGUUUGAUACCCUGUAUCUAUUCUUCUUUUUUGUAUAUUAGUUAUUAGUGGAAUUUCAGUGCAUUGGGUUCUUUCUUAGAUCUAGAUGGAAUGAAAUAGUGAAAUAGAAUAAAAAAAAAGCCCUUUCGGAUGAAAAAGGAAGAAUAGUAUGCGAUAUAUCUCAAUUGGAUAAAAAAAAAUUAAAAGCAAAUUUCUCUUAUCCUCGUUUGUUCCUUCCUUUAGAUAAAUACUUAAAAAUCCCCUUACAAUAACAAAUCCAAUUUAGAAGGGACUUCCUCCCCGUGUUGAGAAAACUUUUCUUCUUCCAAUUCUUCUUUUCUUCAUUCAACUCAGUUCAAAAAAGAUACCUCAAAAUACUUCAAUUGGUACGCGCAAGAAAUAGGCCAAUUCGGCAGCUUUUUGUUCAAUUUCUCGUGGAGUAAAAAAUUUAUCAUCAGUACGAGUCAAGGGAAUGAUCCCCUGGCCCCGGAUUUCCAUAUAAAGAAUACGACGAGGAUAAAGACCCUCUUUAACCUGAAUUCUAAUUGAUUGGAUAUCCCGCAUAAAGAAUCGAAGGAAGACGCGACGUUUUAUUCCAGGGAAUCCCCAACGAAAAAUGCACACUAUUCCCUCUUUUCUAUCGAAUCGGUCAUAACCACUACCUACAUUCCACAAAAUAGUACACCACAAGUAGGAGCUAAUGAAUAGGCCUGCGAUUCCGUAGAAAGACAUCACGACCCCCUGCGGAAAAAAAAGAAUUUCUUGAGAUGGAAGUAUAGAUAUAAUAUUCUUACCAAGAUAACUGGAAAUCCCAACCGAUAAGAAUCCUAGUGAACCUAGAAAAAGAAUACAGGCCCAGAAAAAAUUACCCCUUUUUCGAGAACCUUUUAGAAGUUCUACCCAUAUGUGUUCUGAUCGCCAAUUCAUAUUAGAUAUACUAAAUCCAGCAGCGGUCGAUUGAAAUUGAGAGAAUAAGCUAAAUAAUUUUGACUUUACUUUUUUUUAUUCUGAAAUCGCCUUCAGCAACUAGUACUCCUGUGAAAUAAUAGGUUAGAUACAUUGACUUUCUAUUCAAAAAAUAUUCGUUGAUUCAAUUAAAAUAAAUAAAAUAAAACUCGCUAUACCUGGCUCUGCAUAUUCAUGCAUUUAUGCUCGUAGCCUGUAUACGCAUCCAUAACCGUUUUUCAUUUGUGUUAGAAAGUGUGUGUAGAAAAAGCCACAUACCCUACCAUAUUAUAUUACUUACACUAAAAAAUACUAGACAAUCUUAUUUUUUUGCACAUAAAGAAAUAAAGAAGUCAUUGCAAUUGCCGGAAAUACUAAGCCUACUAAAGGCACGAAAAUAGAAGGUAAGUUUAAAUCCGUCAUGGAAUAGGUGUCUCAAUUCAAAUUUACUAUUUCUAUCUAGUCAAAAAAUAUCUUAAGAUUCUUAUGAUAUAAUUAAGUAUAUCUAUUAUAAGGAAUAUUGACUAUUGUAUUGUAUUUUUUAUUUUUAGUUUGAAAAAUAUUCUGUAAAAAAAAUGAAAGGAUAAUAAGAAAAUUCCAAAAAAGGAGAACUAAUUAAAAAGAAUUUAUUUUGAUUUUCCCAUCCUCAUGGCCUUUCUAUCUUUCUAAUCUAAUUUGAAAUUGGAUUCAAAAGAAAGCGGUUAGAAUUUACUUCCUGCAUACAUACUUCUCUAGAAGCGCAUACAAUUGAUAAUACUAUAUUUUAUUAUUUUAUUUGUAUUUCUUUAUUGUAUUAUACCUUAAUAUAUAUAUUCUAGAUAUAUAGAAUAGACGAAUCUCGAUUUGUCAAGUCUCAUGAUCAUAUCAUGAUCUAUUUUUAUUCGGCUCAAUCUUUUUUAGAAAAAAAAAGAUUGAGCCGAGUUUAAUUGCAUCAAUUAGAAGAAUAAAGAAGAAUUACUGCAUUUCAUAACUGAUUUUUUUCUCUUUUUAUUUCGUUUCUUUUUUAUUUAUACCUUCUUUAUCUUUAGUUUUAUCUAGUUAAUCAAUAGUAUCUACCGGCUCGAACUCGAAUUUGAUCGCCUUCCAUACUUCACAAGCUGCGGCUAGUUCAGGACUCCAUUUGCAAGCUGCUCGGAUAAUUUCAUUACCUUCGCGAGCAAGAUCAUGCCCUUCGUUACGAGCUUGUACACAGGUUCCAAAGCCACUCGAUUAGUUGCUGCACCAGGUGCAUUUCCCCAAGGAUGUCCUAAAGUUCCUCCACCAAAUUGUAAUACAUAAUCGUCCCCAAAGAUUUCGGUCAGAGCUGGCAUAUGCCAAACAUGAAUACCACCUGAAGCUACCGGUAUAACACCUGGCAUGGAUACCCAGUCCUGAGUGAAAAAGAUACCGCGAGCACGAUCUUUUUCAAUAAAAUCAUCGCGCAAUAAAUCAACAAAACCUAAAGUCAUUUCGCGUUCCCCUUCUAACUUACCUACUACUGUACCAGAGUGGAUAUGAUCUCCCCCAGACAUAUGCAAUGCUUUAGCUAAUACACGGAAAUGCAUACCAUGAUUUUUCUGUCUAUCAAUAAAUGCAUGCAUUGCACGGUGAAUGUGAAGAAGUAGGCCAUUGUCGCGGCAAUAAUGAGCGAAAGUAGUAUUUGCGGUGAAUCCCCCAGUUAAGUAGUCAUGCAUUACAAUAGGAACCCCUAAUUCUCUUGCAAAUACAGCUCUCUUAAUCAUUUCUUCACAUGUACCCGCAGUCGCAUUCAAGUAAUGCCCCUUGAUUUCACCGGUUUCGGCCUGUGAUUUAUAAAUAGCUUUGGCACAAAAGACAAAACGGUCUCUCCAGCGCAUAAAUGGUUGUGAGUUUACGUUUUCAUCAUCUUUGGUAAAAUCAAGUCCACCACGUAGACACUCAUAACACGCUCUACCAUAAUUUUUUGCGGAUAAUCCCAAUUUUGGUUUAAUAGUACAUCCCAAUAAAGGACGACCAUACUUGUUCAACUUAUCUCUUUCAACUUGGAUACCAUGAGGCGGGCCUUGGAAAGUUUUUGAAUAAGUAGGGGGAAUUCGUAGAUCCUCCAAACGUAGAGCACGUAGGGCUUUGAAACCAAAUACGUUACCUACAAUGGAAGUAAACAUGUUAGUAACGGAAGCCUCUUCAAAUAGGUCUAAUGGAUAAGCUACAUAACAGAUCCAUUGGUUGUCUUCCCCAGCAACAGGCUCGAUGUGAUAGCAUCGUCCUUUAUAACGAUAAAGACUGGUAAGUCCAUCAGUCCAAACAGUUGUCCAUGUACCAGUAGAAGAUUCGGCAGCUACUGCAGCCCCUACUUCUUCGGGCGGAACCCCAGGCUGAGGACUUACUCGGAAUGCUGCCGAGAUAUCAGUAUCCUUAGUUUCAUACUCUGGGGUGUAGUAAGUCAAUUUAUAAUCUUCAACACCAGCUUGAAAUCCAACACUUGCUUUAGUUUCUGUUUGUGGUGACAUAAGUCCCUCCCUAUAACUCUUGAAUUAAGAAUUCUCACAAUAACAGGGUCUACUCGAUGUUAAUUAGGCGUAAAUGAAACUUUAGAAAAAAUCUCGUAAAACAAAAAAAGGAUAUUCAAUUAAUAUAAUAUCAACUCAUUAAAGAAAAUUGAGGGCAUGCUUAGGUUAAUGAAUAUGUUUCAUUCAUAUAUAAUGCGUACACCCUGUGUAUGUUCUAUCCUAUAGGAAUUCCACUAUAGGAAUUCGAUAGGAAUUGAGUUGUUGUUAUGGUAAGUUAACACGGUUCGUUAUUAAACCAUGGAUUUGAUUUACCAAAUCCAUAAUUAUUGUAUACUCUUUGAUAGAUAUAGCGCAACCCAAAUUAAUUCCUAAUCCUUAUAUUACAAGUUCUUAAUAGUUCUCUUUUCUUAUUUUGAAUGCAAAUACCUAACUAAAUACUAAUAAAAUUCUUUGUUGACAGCAAUCUAUGCUUCACAGUAGUAUAUAUUUUGUAUAUCGAAGUCCUAGAUAGGAAAGUAGAGUAGGCACAGAUCCUCCACAAAAGGCAAAAUGUAUGUAUAUGAAAAAAAGAUUGAUUGAACUUUCCAACGGACUCAUUCCAUGAGUAAACGGUUGCAUGGGGCAAUGAAAUCAAGUCCUGGUCCCCUUUUCUCUCUUAUAGAAUUAACUAAUUCAUUUCCUUUUUACUUUUGGAUUUUUUUUGAUUUGAUUUGGCAUUAUUCAACAAUAAAAAAAGAAAAAUUUCGACAAAUUCCUUUUUUUAAUUAUGUGAUAAUUAUGAGAACCAAUCCUACUACUUCUCCUCCCGGGGUUUCCACAAUUGAAGAAAAAAGUACAGGUCAUAUCGAUCAAAUUAUUGGACCCGUGCUGGAUGUCACUUUUCCCCAGGCAAGUUACCUUAUAUUUAUAACGCUUUGGUAGUCCAGAGUAGAGACACUGCCGAUAAGCAAAUUAAUGUGACUUGUGAGGUACAACAAUUAUUAGGAAAUAAUCGAGUUAGAGCUGUAGCUAUGAGUGCUACGGACGGGUUGAUGAGAGGAAUGGAAGUGAUUGACACGGGAGCUCCUCUCAGUGUUCUGGUCGGUGGAGCUACUCUCGGACGAAUUUUCAACGUUCUUGGGGAGCCUGUUGUGACGCCCGGAUAAUUAAGCUACAGUAAUCCCACGUUAACGAUGCCACGUCACCCCGUUUACUGUUGAUAAACUCUCGAUAGUUCAGAACCGAAACAAAUUCAAAAUUUAAAUAAAAGCAAAUAAUAAAAGUUUACAAAUAUUAAAACUAAAAUGUUCAGAGUGAGCCAAAUAGUCCAUAUUAAAUAUUGGUGAAGAAACCACACUUUUGUAAAGUAUUUAACUGCACUAUAGUAAGUAAAAACAGCAGCAAAACAAUUAUUUAAAUGCUUUUAAAUACUAAACAAAUGUUAAUCUAGUUUAUAUAAUCACCAAACUUUUUGGAGUAGGUGGCCUAUGUUAUUAUGCUAAUUUAGGAGUAGGGGUUGUAUUUUUGUAAACUGUUUUGCUAACUAAAAUAAAUAAAACAGAAAAGAAAAAAAUAGAAAACAAAACAAAAGUGUAAAAGCACAGGCCACUGUGCACUGGGCCAAGUGCACAGUGCCUGGCCCGAGCCUCGGCCCACUCCAGCUGGUCCGGCCCAACCCCUCCCCGGGUCGUCUUCCCCCCCUGUUCCCCCGACCGGGGUCGCAACAGGGGCGAGCCCCGCCGGACCGCCUCGACGACGACUACCCGGAGAGGAUAAGGCCGACCCCUCCCCUCGAUGCCUCGACCUCCUCCCCACCUACCUCCACCAACUCCCCUCUCCAUCUCGGCCGCUCUCUCUCUCUCUGGCCCCCCCUCGCCCGAGCGAGAUCGCCGCCGAAGCCUCGCCGUAGGCGUGGCCCCGACCACCGUUCGUCGAGCCGCCGAGUCCCCGAGCUCCCUCUACAUCGUCCUCGUCCACCCCACGCUUCAGGACGAGCUGGGGUGCCCUGCAGCGGCCGGGUCAAGCUUUUCCCCAACCUCGGUCGCCGCCGCCCGCCGCGAUUCAUUCCGCCUCCCCUCUGCGCUCCCGUUCACUCGAGGGCCUCCGUGUGCCGCGCCGUCAGCCUCCGCCCCCUCCUCCUUCCUCUGGUUCCUCCUCAUACACCGUAGGUUGCUCGCGAUGCCGCCGUCGCCAUUGCCGCAUGCGGCCACGUCCGCGAGCUCGUUGCGCUCACCCCGUCCAUCUCCGAGCCGAGCCGUGGCCUCCGUCGAGUUGCCGGAGGUCCGUAGAGCCCGCUAGCGUCGUUUGUUAGCUAGAACGCAGUCGUAGCGUGGUUUUCGGAGAUGCCCGUAGUCCGGCGCCGCCCGCGGUCGUCGUUGAGCUCCACUCCAACCACCCCCGCUCCUGCGAUCACUCUAGAUCUACGCGGGACGAUCUACUCGUUCGAACGCCACCGAAAACGCGCGGAAUGGUGCACUGUGCUGGAAAUCCGAGCAACUCCGGCGAACUUCCGCCGCUGGAAUGGUCGCCGGCGUGAUUCCGGCGACGGCACCGACGUGGCACCUGCGUGGCACCGCCAGGGCCACUGACUGGUGGACCCAGGUCCCCCCUUGACUUGUUGACCGUGGUCAACGUGCUGACUGGGCGGCCCCCAGCCACUGACAGGUGGGCCCCGUCUGUUAAUUAGGCUAAUUAAACAUUUUUAUAAAUAAAAUUAACUUGUUAGAUUAAACACUCAUUGACAUAUGGGGCCCACCCCUCUAACUAGACUGUUAGUUUAGUUUAAAUUACUGUUAGACAAACAGAGGCUGACAUGUGGGCCCCCCUAGACCCACCUGUCUGGUUUGACUGGUCAGCCGACCUGUUGACCUGCUGACGUCAGCGUUACCUCAUGCUCACGUCAUAAUUCAUUUUUGCUAAAUUCAAAUAAUUCCAGAAAUUCAAAUAAUCUUUGAAAAUUCAUAUCUUUUAAACCGUAACUCGGAUGAAAAUGUUUUCUACAUGAAAGUUGCUCAGAACGACGAGACGAAUCCGGAUACGCAGUUCCUUUCGUCCACCCCACCUCCCUAGCCUAUCAAACUCGCAACUUUCCCCCUCCGGUCCGUCUGUCCGAAACGCGAAACAGCGGGAAUACUUUCCCGGAUGUCCCCCCCUUCACCGGUACCACCUACUGUCGCGUUAGGACACACCUAACACUACUCAUUGUCAUGUCACGCAUCGUCAUGUUUAUGUUUGCAUUGUAUUUACUGUUUCUUCCCCCUCUUCUCUCCGGUAGACUACGAGACCGACACUGCUGAUGCCCAGUUCGACUACGGAGUUGACGACCCCUCCUACUUGCCAGAGCAACCACGCAAGCCCCCCCUGACCACCAGAUAUCGCCUAUUCUUCUCUAUACUGCUUGCAUUAGAGUAGUGUAGCAUGUUACUGCUUUCGGUUAAUCCUAUACUGAUGCAUAGCCUGUCAUUGUUGCUACAGUUGUUACCAUUACCUGCUAUCCUACUGCUUAGUAUAGGAUGCUAGUGUUCCAUCAGUGGCCCUACACUCUUGUCCGUCUGCCAUGCUAUACUACUGGGCCGUGAUCACUUCGGGAGGUGAUCACGGAUAUAUACUUUAUACAUUAUAUACAUGACACAUGUGGAGACUAAAGUCGGGUCGGCUCGAGGAGUACCCGCAAGUGAUUCUGAUGAGGGGGCUGAAAGGACAGGUGGCCCCACCCCGGUAGAGGUGGGCCUGGGUUCCUGACGGCCCCCGACUGUUACUUUGUGGCGGAGCGACAGGGCAGGUUGAGACCGCCUAGGUGAGAGGUGGGCCUGGCCCUGGUCGGCAUUCGCGGAUACUUAACAUGCUUAACGAGAUCUUGGUAUUUGAUCUGAGUCUGGCCAUUUGGUCUAUACGCACUAACCAUCUACGCGGGAGUAGUUAUGGGUAUCCCGGCGUCGUGGUAUCAGCCGAAGCCUUCGUGACGUCAGCGACUGAGUGGCGCGCGCCGGAUUGCACUGGAACGCCACUAGGCUAGGUCUGCUUCCGGCCGCGUACGCAACGUGCAGGUGUGCAUUGGGCGAUGGGCCCAGACCCCUACGCGCAUAGGGUUAGACCGGCGUGCUGACCUCUCUGUUGUGCUUAGGUGGGGCUGCGACGCGUUGAUCUUACGAGGCCGAGCAUGACCCAGAAAAGUGUGUCCGGCCAAAUGGGAUCGAGCGUGUUGGGUUAUGUGGUGCACCCCUGCAGGGAAGUUUAUCUAUUCGAAUAGCCGUGUCCCUCGGUAAAAGGACGACCCGGAGUUGUACCUUGACCUUAUGACAACUACAACUGGAUACUGAAUAAAAUACACCCUUCCAAGUGCCAGAUACAACCCGGUGAUCGCUCUCUAACAGGGCGACGAGGAGGGGAUCGCCGGGUAGGAUUAUGCUAUGCGAUGCUACUUGGAGGACUUCAAUCUACUCUCUUCUACAUGCUGCAAGAUGGAGAUGACCAGAAGCGUAGUCUUCGACAGGACUAGCUAUCCCCCUUUUAUUCUGGCAUUCUGCAGUUCAGUCCACUGAUAUGCCCCUUUACACAUAUACCCAUGCAUAUGUAGUAUAGCUCCUUGCUUGCGAGUACUUUGGAUGAGUACUCACGGUUGCUUCUCUCCCUCUUUUCCCCCUUUCCUUUCUAUCUGGUUGUCGCAACCAGAUGUUGGAGUCCAGGAGCCAGACGCCACCGUCGACGACGACACCUACGACGCUGGAGGUGCCUACUACUACGUCCAGCCCGCUGACGACGAUCAGGAGUAGUUAGGAGGAUCCCAGGCAGGAGGCCUGCGCCUUGUUCGAUCUGUAUCCCAAUUUGUGCUAGCCUUCUUAAGGAAAACUUGUUUAACUUAUGUCUGUACUCAGAUAUUGUUGCUUCCGCUGACUCGUCUGUGAUCGAGCACUUGUAUUCGAGCCCUCGAGGCCCCCGGCUUGUAUUAUGAUGCUUGUAUGACUUAUUUAUGUUGUAGAGUUGUGUUGUGAUAUCUUCCCGUGAGUCCCUGACCUUGAUCGUACACAUUUGCGUGCAUGAUUAGUGUACGGUCAAAUCGGGGGCGUCACAAGUUGGUAUCAGAGCCGACUGCCUGUAGGAAUCCCCCUUUCCACACUCCUUGGCCGAAGUCGAGUCUAGACAUUACAAAACUUUUACUAACAUGGCUGUGUGUCUUACGGGCUCACGUCGCCAUUGGGUGGUAUUAGGAUCUUUUACUCCUUGUCUAUACUCUGGGACUCUGAUCUCUCUUCUAUUCGGGUUAAGUGAAUUUUACUAAAUCUAACAUUAGGAUCUCGUUAUCACUUUCACCCGGAGAGCCCCUUAUUACUGAUGAUCGUCUGCUGCACGUGAAGAGCCUGAAGAUACUCUCCGCUGAUAACCCGAGAACUUGUGUUCAUCGCUUUUGCAAUUCCCUUUCAUCGAUAAACUCCUAUGGAUAACCGCGUAUACUCGCCAUUCAUACAAUGUUUCCCAGUUGAUCUUGUUAUUACAAGAUACCCCGAAGUUAUCUCUGUUGUUCCGAGAAUCCUUGAGCUUACUGCCUUGCUGUUCUUUGUCACCUGAGUACCCCUACGGAUAAUUUCUCGCCCUUAUCGAGUAUCCGCUCAUCCCCAGUUGAUUCAAGUAUUUCACAAAAGUGUUCAAAAUACCAUUCGAUCUACCAAAAAUCCUGAGCAGCCUAUUGCUCUUGAAAUUCUUGCUUGCUUGCAUUAUGGAUAAUCCCAUAAGUCUCGUAAUCUUAUAGUCAUUCCUUGUCAUUAUCAUUUUGAGUCUGUUGAUUCAAAAUAUUGCGAAUGCUCACAAUCCUCAAUCAGAUCCUAGAAUUCUUCCUUCUGGCUCAAACGUCAUUUUUAACAUGAGCUUGAUCUCGACCUAUAAAAUUGCCAUCGAUUGUACCCCUAAGCCUACUCACUUAUCCAUCCUUGAUCAGAGCGUUGCUUCUGACCCCCUGAUUUGGAAAUCAUAAUUCUUUUGCAUUCGAACUUUGAGUUAGUCAGUUGUUUCUAUAAUUAGAUCUCCUUGCCUUCUUCUUCCUCUGGUUGAGUACCGAUGCUCACAUCAGAUCCCUUGUGGACCAUUGGUUCCUUUGUUGGAUUUUAUCCGACAGUGUCCUUCAUAUUGAAUAACCUUGUGAGUUCUUUCCCUGAUACAUAAUGCCUUUAGUAAAUUGUAUCCUCUCGUUUUGACACCCAUGCUCUACUUUCGAGCUUGUAUUAUUUACUCCGAAGUUUGUGGUAUAAGUUCCUAAGAUGCCUUGAUGGGUUGAACCUAUACCUUCCCUAAAAAAAACCGUAUGAACCCGAAGGUUUUCACAAGCCAUACCCUUCUGGUAUUUUACCAGAUAAUUUUCUACUAAAUAACUUCAUCGAACGCGAGAAGUAAAUGAAAGGUUAUGCAUUGGAGAAGUGGGAGUCGACCUUGAACUUUGCGUUCAUGCCCAUGGACACGAUGUAGAUCUUAUCAUUAAAGCUUUUCUUAAAUUAAUUAUUCCAUUGGUAUAAGUUCAUCUUAUAUCUGGGAUCUGGCCUUUUUCAAUCGUGGUUCCGACCAUGUUCUCCUUUAAGUACCAUUUCUCAUGCAAGUUUAAGCACUUGUCUUCUGCAGAGCAAUACCCUAGUCCAACCUCUACUUUGAUCUGUCGUCGAGCAUUACCCCCCUGGUAUCUCGAGAUUAUCAUGGAACUGCAUAACUUAUUAUGAGUUCUCCAUCAAGUGCUACAUUCUCAUUGAUUCCAAUUUUCCACGGGCUCUAAGUUAUUAAUCACGCAAAGACACCGAUAACUGAACCGAGUCCGCACUACGGUUCAACAACUCUUAGUAAUCUUCCUUAAGUACGAGUUUGUACCCGAUCACGCCAUUCCUAGCCUGUUUGGCCAUAUCAUUACCUUGGUGAUUUUAACUAUGUUACCUGGACCUUCCCAGCGCACAAAUUUCGACAGUGAGCUAAUCUUGCGUCUAUCUCCCUCGUCAUAUCACUUCUCCUUGAAUAGCAAACUUGAAUUCGAGUUUGUGCCCUACCCGUGGUUCCAAUAACCUUUCGCUUUCAUCAUUCCUUUGACUUGAUGUCAUCGUCGAUCAAUUACAUCUUCUUGAAAACCUCUCGACAAAUUUGUCGUGAUCAUUGUCAACAAUUUGAUUUCUUCCAAGUUGUGUGUCGAAAUUCAGGAUGAGAAAUACCAUCCAUGCCCCUCGAUGAAUUGUGUUAUCAUCGACAACAUUCUUGCCUCCCCUCAACACAAACUUGUUCAUAUUUUGUGUUGUAUCUUGAUUUCCCUGCUAUCCAACCUAUGUUAUAUUCUACCGUGGAGUAUUACCAUCUUCGAUGUCAAGAAUGUCGUGAGCAUUACUCCACCUCUUAAGAAUUCUUGGUACAGUGAUACUUCUCACCAUCACCAUUCUUUCUUGGUCCCCGUGUUGUUUCUAAACGAAAUACCGACAAAUGGUCUGUGACGUGUAAAUUCUAAACUUCUAGCAACCCUAUUGCUUUGAAGUUAUUGGUCUAUAGUUUCAUUCUACGUCUAUGGCUUAAUGAAUCAUCAUUCGAACAUUGAUCGUGCUACCUAGCCCACAUUUCGGGUGCACAUUUCAACCAAUGUUUAACUGUGUAUGUUUUCCUCGAGCAUACAUCAUUAAGUCAUUCGAUCUAGCUAUUGUUAUCUCCUUGUUCACAUAGUUGUGGAAAUCCAUCUUUUGGAACUCUCAAUGGAAUGUCGCCGAGUCCAUCAGCCAGCUCCUAUCCCUCUCUUUGGUUUAAUGAAGAACUCUGGUUUCGGAACUUGCUUUCAUAGUUCAUUUCCCGAGAAUCUUAUAAUGUCAUCCCAUCAAUUUGUGUUGCACUUUUCUUCUCAGACAUCCUGAGUCUGAGGUAUCCUGACACCAAUCAGAUCUGAAUCUCGGUCAGAUAUGAUGGUUGGAACAUAUUUCCAAGAGUUAUAACAUUGGCCUAUUUAUGACCCGGUAAGGUGAUGAUACCCAGCAUACCUGGCGGGAGGACCUAUUGUUAUAAGUUUUCCCUUUUAGCAAGGUUAGCUAUUCUUCCAUGAGAAAGUGGUAAGACUUAUUCUAUAAGUUGUUUCCGAUGGAUCCUUUGUAUCCAAAGUCUGACCUUUGCUUGAAGACCAUGCCAAUGUUAUCUCGAAGCAUGUCUGUGGUACUCCGAUUUUCAAUAAGAGCACUUGAAGAACAAUGCAAAUUUUUCUUUGUCCAUUAUCCAAACACCGUUGUAUGGGUGAUGUCAUGAAAUUUCUCUCACCUUACCUAAAGAGUUUUCUACAUUAUAUCCUGUCCUGGAUAUCAUGCUCUGCUUGUCCUUGGGGAGGAUACACCCUUGAAAUAUGUGUUUAAGCACAUUUUCCUUUCCAUUCUUCUGUUUAAUCUGAUAAUCAUAUUUUCCUUUCCAUUGUUUGGUUUAACCUUUCUGGUGAUCUAUAUGAUCUAAGCAGUAGUAUUCUCCUGCUUAUGUAAACACCCCGGUGUACAAUUAUGUCAGUAAGACCCUGUUACUAUUGUCGAUGAUAUUCCGGUAACCACCGAUGGACGAGAACUUUGCCUAUUGGUCCGCCUCGUUUCGACGAGCAGGAAAAUGGUUCUCUUCGUCCCUUGCCCUUGGUACCGAUGUGGUUGCCGACAUAAAAGACAUGCUAUCCUCUGACAUGCCUUGCUUACAUGAUCCUGCAAGACGUCUCCGCCCUUCCUACUUUUAACCCACAUGGUGGGCCCAUAACCCACAGUUCCAUAGGAUCGAAACCUGACUCUCCUGUACACCCUUUUGUCAAAGUUAUUCCUCGUGCUUGACUUUGUAUGUAAUUCACGGGCCACCUACCUAUUGAUCUAUUCUGGUAUAAGACGCAAUACUUAUUCCCGAUUGCUUUGAGCCCCUUUCACGCCCUGUUUCAGGCAUCGAACGAUUGCCUGGCCGCUUGAAACUCCUUAUAGUACCUUCUUACUUUGCUCUCGAUGUUUUCCCAAGUUUCGACUCAAGGGAUACCUUGGUCCAAAACCCCAGAGCUAAUUGCCGAAUAUCAGCCCUUGCAGACACCUGUCCUUGUAGUUUCCCUCCUAUCCUUUCGUAAGUACGAUGGAGUCCCCGAGGAAAGGAUGCCAGCUUCAUCAUGUUGACCUGAAGCAGGAAAAUGAAGACAUCAACGUAAUGGAUCAACCGCUUCGAGAAGAGCAACCAAGAUCGAGGACGCUCGUUAGAAUUUCACGACCAAAUCCCUUUCCCAUCACUUCCCCUCUUAAAUCUCGGGACGAGAUUUCUUGUAGUGGAGGAGAAUUGUGACGCCCGGAUAAUUAAGCUACAAUAAUCCCACGUUAACGAUGCCACGUCACCCCGUUUACUGUUGAUAAACUCUCGAUAGUUCAGAACCGAAACAAAUUCAAAAUUUAAAUAAAAGUAAAUAAUAAUAGUUUAAAAAUAUUAAAACUAAAAUGUUCGGAGUGAGCCAAAUAGUCCAUAUUAAAUAUUGGUGAAGAAACCACACUUUUGUAAAGUAUUUAACUGCACUAUAAUAAGUAAAAACAGCAGCAAAACAAUUAUUUAAAUGCUUUUAAAUACUAAACAAAUGUUAAUCUAGUUUAUAUAAUCACCAAACUUUUUGGAGUAGGUGGCCUAUGUUAUUAUGCUAAUUUAGGAGUAGGGGUUGUAUUUUUGUAAACUGUUUUGCUAACUAAAAUAAAUAAAACAGAAAAGAAAAAAAAUAGAAAACAAAACAAAAGUGUAAAAGCACAGGCCACUGUGCACUGGGCCAAGUGCACAGUGCCUGGCCCGAGCCUCGGCCCACUCCAGCUGGUCCGGCCCAACCCCUCCCCGGGUCGUCUUCCCCCCCUGUUCCCCCGACCGGGGUCGCAACAGGGGCGAGCCCCGCCGGACCGCCUCGACGACGACUACCCGGAGAGGAUAAGGCCGACCCCUCCCCUCGACGCCUCGGCCUCCUCCCCACCUACCUCCACCAACUCCCCUCUCCAUCUCGGCCGCUCUCUCUCUCUGGCCCCCCCUCGCCCGAGCGAGAUCGCCGCCGAAGCCUCGCCGUAGGUGUGGCCCCGACCACAGUUCGUCGAGCCGCCGAGUCCCCGAGCUCCCUCUACGUCGUCCUCGUCGACCCCGCGCUUCAGGACGAGCUGGGGUGCCCUGCAGCGGCCGGGUCAAGCUUUACCCCAACCUCGGUCUCCGCCGCCCGCCGCGAUUCAUUCCGCCUCCCCUCUGCGCUCCCGUUCACUCGAGGGCCUCCGUGUGCCGCGCCGUCAGCCUCCGCCCCCUCCUCCUUCCUCUGGUUCCUCCUCAUACACCGUAGAUGGCUCGCGGUGCCGCCGUCGCCAUUGCCGCAUGCGGCCUCGUCCGCGAGCUCGUUGCGCUCACCCCGUCCAUCUCCGAGCCAAGCCGUGGCCUCCGUCGAUUUGCCGGAGGUCCGUAGAGCCCGCUAGCGUCGUUUGUUAGCUAGAACGCAGCCGUAGCGUGGUUUUCGGAGAUGCCCGUAGUCCGGCGCCGCCCGCGGUCGUCGUUGAGCUCCACUCCGGCCACCACUGCUCCUGCGAUCACUCUAGAUCUACGCGGGACGAUCUACUCGUUCGAACGCCACCGAAAACGCGCGGAAUGGUGCACUGUGCUGGAAAUCCGAGCAACUCCGGCGAACUUCCGCCGCUGGAAUGGUCGCCGGCGUGAUUCCGGCGACGUCACCGACGUGGCACCUGCGUGGCACCGCCUGGCCCACUGACUGGUGGACCCAGGUCCCCCCUUGACUUGUUGACCGCGGUCAACGUGCUGACUGGGCGGCCCCCAGCCACUGACAGGUGGGCCCCGUCUGUUAAUUAGGCUAAUUAAACAUUUUUAUAAAUAAAAUUAACUUGUUAGAUUAAACACUCACUGACAUAUGGGGCCCACCCCUCUAAUUAGACUGUUAGUUUAGUUUAAAUUACUGUUAGACUAACAGAGGCUGACAUGUGGGCCCCACUGGACCCACCUAUCUGGUUUGACUGGUCAGCCGACCUGUUGACCUGCUGACGUCAGCUUUACCUCAUGCUGACGUCAUAAUUCAUUUUUGCUAAAUUCAAAUAAUUCCAGAAAUUCAAAUAAUCUUUGAAAAUUCAUAUCUUUUAAACCGUAACUCGGAUGAAAAUGUUUUCUACAUGAAAGUUGCUCAGAACGACGAGACGAAUCCGGAUACGCAGUCUGUUCGUCCACCCCACCUCCCUAGCCUAUCAAACUCGCAACUUUCCCCCUCUGGUCCGUCUGUCCGAAACGCGAAACAGCGGGAAUACUUUCCCGGAUGUCCCCCCCCCUUCACCGGUACCACCUACUGUCGCGUUAGGACACACCUAGCACUGCUCAUUGUCAUGUCACGCAUCGUCAUGUUUAUGUUUGCAUUGUAUUUACUGUUUCUUCCCCCUCUUCACUCCGGUAGACUACGAGACUGACACUGCUGAUGCCCAGUUCGACUACGGAGUUGACGACCCCUCCUACUUGCCAGAGCAACCAGGCAAGCCCCCCCCCCCCUUGACCACCAGAUAUCGCCUAUUCUUCUCUAUACUGCUUGCAUUAGAGUAGUGUAGCAUGUUACUGCUUUCGGUUAAUCCUAUACUGAUGCAUAGCCUGUCAUUGUUGCUACAGUUGUUACCCUUACCUGCUAUCCUACUGCUUAGUAUAGGAUGCUAGUGUUCCAUCAGUGGCCCUACACUCUUGUCCGUCUGCCAUGCUAUACUACUGGGCCGUGAUCACUUCGGGAGGUGAUCACGGAUAUAUACUUUAUACAUUAUAUACAUGACACAUGUGGAGACUAAAGUCGGGUCGGCUCGAGGAGUACCCGCAAGUGAUUCUGAUGAGGGAGCUGAAAGGACAGGUGGCCCCACCCCGGUAGAGGUGGGCCUGGGUUCCUGACGGCCCCCGACUAUUACUUUGUGGCGGAGCGACAGGGCAGGUUGAGACCGCCUAGGUGAGAGGUGGGCCUGGCCCUGGUCGGCGUUCGCGGAUACUUAACACGCUUAACGAGAUCUUGGUAUUUGAUCUGAGUCUGGCCAUUUGGUCUAUACGCACUAACCAUCUAGGCGGGAGUAGUUAUGGGUAUCCCGGCGUCGUGGUAUCAGCCGAAGCCUUCGUGACGUCAGCAACUGAGUGGCGCGCGCCGGAUUGGACUGGAACGCCACUAGGCUAGGUCUGCUUCCGGCCGCGUACGCAACGUGCAGGUGUGCAUAGGGUGAUGGGCCCAGACCCCUGCGCGCAUAGGGUUAGACCGGCGUGCUGACCUCUCUAUUGUGCUUAGGUGGGGCUGCGACGCGUUGAUCUUACGAGGCCGGGCAUGACCCAGAAAAGUGUGUCCGGCCAAAUGGGAUCGAGCGUGUUGGGUUAUGUGGUGCACCCCUGCAGGGAAGUUUAUCUAUUCGAAUAGCCGUGUCCCUCGGUAAAAGGACGACCCGGAGUUGUACCUUGACCUUAUGACAACUAGAACUGGAUACUGAAUAAAAUACACGCUUCCAAGUGCCAGAUACAACCCGGUGAUCGCUCUCUAAUAGGGCGACGAGGAGGGGAUCGCCGGGUAGGAUUAUGCUAUGCGAUGCUACUUGGAGGACUUCAAUCUACUCUCUUCUACAUGCUGCAAGAUGGAGAUGACCAGAAGCGUAGUCUUCGACAGGACUAGCUAUCCCCCUUUUAUUCUGGCAUUCUGUAGUUCAGUCCACUGAUAUGCCCCUUUACACAUAUACCCAUGCAUAUGUAGUAUAGCUCCUUGCUUGCGAGUACUUUGGAUGAGUACUCACGGUUGCUUCUCUCCCUCUUUUCCCCCUUUCCUUUCUAUCUGGUUGUCACAACCAGAUGUUGGAGUCCAGGAGCCAGACGCCACCGUCGACGACGACACCUACGACGCUGGAGGUGCCUACUACUACAUGCAGCCCGCUGACGACGAUCAGGAGUAGUUAGGAGGAUCCCAGGCAGGAGGCCUACGCCUCGUUCGAUCUGUAUCCCAGUUUGUGCUAGCCUUCUUAAGGCAAACUUGUUUAACUUAUGUCUGUACUCAGAUAUUGUUGCUUCCGUUGACUCGUCUGUGAUCGAGCACUUGUAUUCGAGCCCUCGAGGCCCCUGGCUUGUAUUAUGAUGCUUGUAUGACUUAUUUAUGUUGUAGAGUUGUGUUGUGAUAUCUUCCCGUGAGUCCCUGACCUUGAUCGUACACAUUUGCGUGCAUGAUUAGUUUACGGUCAAAUCGGGCGCGUCACACCUGUUGACAAUUUGGGUCCUGUAGAUAGUAGUGCAACGUUCCCUAUUCAUAGAUCUGCGCCUGCCUUUAUCGAGUUAGAUACGAAAUUAUCCAUCUUUGAAACAGGUAUUAAGGUCGUCGAUCUUUUAGCUCCUUAUCGAAGUGGAGGAAAAAUAGGACUAUUUGGGGGGGCUGGAGUAGGUAAAACAGUACUGAUCAUGGAAUUAAUCAAUAACAUUGCUAAAGCUCAUGGGGGCGUAUCUGUAUUCGGUGGAGUAGGGGAACGGACUCAUGAAGGAAAUGAUCUUUAUAUGGAAAUGAAGGAAUCCGGAGUAAUUAAUGAAAAAAAAUAUUGAGGAAUCAAAGGUAGCUCUAGUCUAUGGCCAAAUGAAUGAACCACCGGGAGCUCGUAUGAGAGUUGGUUUAACUGCCCUAACUAUGGCGGAAUAUUUCCAAGAUGUUAAUAAGCAAGACGUGCUUUAAUUUAUCGAUAUUAUCUUUCGUUUUGUUCAAGCAGGAUCAGAGGUAUCCGCUUUAUUAGGGAGAAUGCCCUCCGCAGUGGGUUAUCAACCUACUCUUAGUACAGAAAUGGGUUCUUUGCAAGAAAGAAUUGCUUCUACUAAAAAGGGAUCUAUAACUUCGAUUCAAGCAGUUUAUGUACCUGCAGGCGAUUUGACCGACCCUGCCCCUGCCACAACAUUUGCACAUUUGGAUGCUACUACCGUAAUUUCUAGAGGAUUAGCUUCCAGGGAUAUUUAUCCAGCAGUAGAUCCUUUAGAUUCAACCUCGACUAUGUUACAGCCUCGGAUCGUUGGCAACGAACAUUAUGAAACUGCGCAAAGAGUUAAGGAAACUUUACAACGUUACAAAGAACUUCAGGACAUUAUCGCAAUUCUUGGCUUGGAUGAAUUAUCGGAAGAGGAUCGUUUAACUGUAGCAAGAGCAAGAAAAAUUGAGCGUUUCUUAUCACAACCGUUCUUUGUGGCAGAAGUUUUUACUGGUUCUCCAGGAAAGUAUGUUGCUCUUGCGGAAACUAUUAGGGGAUUUCAACUAAUCCUUUCCGGAGAAUUAGACGGCCUACCUGAACAGGCUUUUUAUUUGGUGGGUAACAUCGAUGAAGCUAGCACGAAAGCUAUAACCUUAGAAGAGGAGAACAAAUCGAAGAAAUGAAAUUAAAUCUUUAUGUACUGACUCCUAAGCGAAUUAUUUGGGAUUGUGAAGUGAAAGAAAUCAUUUUAUCCACUAAUAGUGGCCAAAUUGGCGUAUUACCAAACCACGCCCCCAUUAACACAGCAGUAGAUAUGGGUCCUUUGAGAAUACGCCUCCUCAACGACCAAUGGUUAACAGCGGUUCUGUGGAGCGGUUUUGCGAGAAUAGUUAAUAAUGAGAUCAUCAUUUUAGGAAAUGAUGCAGAAUUGGGUAGUGAUAUUGAUCCGGAAGAAGCUCAAAAGGCACUUGAAAUAGCCGAAGCUAACUUGAGUAAAGCUGAGGGUACGAAAGAUUUGGUUGAGGCGAAGCUCGCUCUCAGACGAGCUAGGAGACGAAUCGAGGCUGUUAAUUGGAUUCCCCCAUCCAAUUGAAGACAAUCCAGUGGUUUAUAGUUGAUACAAAGAAAAAGGGAAGAGGGGUAGAAAAAGUUAUUAGAUAGUGAAGCGAAGUAAGUCCAAUGCUAUCUAGUAAUUUUUCUACCUACUUACCUACUAUUGGAUUUGAACCAAUGACUCACGCCGUAUGAAAGCAAUACUCUAACCACUGAGUUAAGUAGGCAAUUUAUCACCACAAAGGAAGACCCAUUACUUCGAUCGAUUAUAUAUUGAAUCCCUUUUCUAAGCAAUACCGCUUUGUUAUUGGUCUGUUAUAUACUAAAUACUAAACUAAAUACUAAACAGAUACAGAUCGAAGGGGUAUCCUCUAGCAUUAGAAAAUAUUCAUCUUGACAAGAAAUUAUCUAUAUGUUAAGAUAUCUCUGAUAAGGGCUAUAGCUCAGUUCGGUAGAGCAACUCGUUUACACGUGCGCCAAUGCUUUUCAAAGGAGCUUAUUAUGCAAUGCACAUAAUCGAUCUUAUUGCAAAAUCAAUGUCUUACUUCAUAGAUUCGAGAGAAUAGGAGAACAGUAGCCUGACAAACAGUCGGUUCAGUCCGAUUCAAGAGCCAAUUCAGGUGCCUAAUCAAAUAGAACCCUUAUGGAUUUGCUAGUUGAUAAGGUAAAUAUCCAGCCCACUAAAUGCUAGGCAUAAUGAGGAUAAGGGCCUCCAAAAAACUUCUUUUCGUUCUAUGAACUUUAAGGUGUAUGAAGUCUCAUAGUUAACUCUUGCAGUGGAACGAUAGAGACUCCAUUUCACUUAGGUUGAUUUAAUUUAGAACGGAGGCAGACCUAAGUCAAGGUAAUCCUCCUUUGAAACACUUUGGUAUUGCUCCUAGAUAGAUCAUAAUACAAAAAAUCAAUCAGAGCACAGGGAGCCAUCUCAUUAUCUUUCCGUAAAGAAAAACUAUGGUGGACUAACUGAUCUUUAAAUCAGUUUAUGAAAGAGCCCAAUGCAAAAAAAUGCAUGUUGGGUCUUUGAAACAGUUCAAAUCAUUUCGAUAAUAAUCCGUUUGAUCUGUUUUUCCGAGAAGGUCUACGGUUCGAAUCCGUAUAGCCCUAAUAUGCCCUUUUUUAGAUUUUAGGAUCUCUAUCCUAUGUUUUCUUUAGUUUAGUAUAGUUUUCAUUUUCUCAUUAGUAUUUGUUUAUAGACUGGAUAGGCGCCUGCGACAUAGAAUAGAGAUAAAAGCAUUACCAAAGGUUCAUUCAUCGAAAAUCAAAAUCAUACAGACAGGAAAAGAAAAACGAAUUUCUAUCAAAUCAAUAGAAGAAAGGAUCCUUUCCCUGAUUUGAAUCCCGUCCUCCUUCAAAUAGGAUAUCUCUAGACUUCCCUAUAAUAACUGCAAUGAUUUUAUCCACUUUGCGAAUUCCUACUUUGUUUUAAGUAUAUUUAUUACUUUGUUUAUAGAUACAUUAUGUAAAUUGAUCAACUUUAAAUAGAAAAAAAUAAAGUAAAGAGUAAAUAAGAAAACAGAAUAUUUUGUCUCAUAGUUCUGAAAUAGAGUUCUUUAUUGUUAUUUUAUAGUAUUACUUCUCAUUAAUUAUACUACAUAGAUUAGUCCUACUAUCUUAAUUAGGUUCUAAUUUAGUAGUAUUCUCAUUUUUAUUGAAUAGUCUCUUAUUAUUUUAUUAUUAAAUAUUAAAUAAAGGAUAGAGCUAUUCUUUCUUCUAGAGAUUCUAGAGAAAGCGAGACAAAGUGAAACGAGAAAGUUUUCUUUAUAUAAGAAUUAGAUCUACAUACACCAUAUCUAAAUAGAAUGGAAAUCCAAAAGAAAGGGAGUUGGGAUUCCAUUGGAUGAAUCUUUCAAGAAGAUGCAGCACAGAGGAAACAAAGGCUAAACUAAGCGCUUUUGUUUGAACAAAAAAGAUUCUUGUUUCACCGAGGAAAAGAGAGAAGUUCUGGAUAAAUUGACAAUGCUGAAUUGAAUUGACUAAUUUAAGUUCCGCCUAUUCCACAUUAAUGGGAGUACAUUAUGUUUCUGCUUCACGAAUAUGAUAUUUUUUGGACAUUUCUAAUAAUAGCAAGCCUUAUUCCUAUUUUGGCAUUUUCGAUUUCAGGACUUUUAGCCCCGGUUAGUGAAGGACCAGAGAAGCUUUCUAGUUAUGAAUCGGGUAUAGAACCCAUGGGAGGGGCUUGGGUACCAUUCCGAAUACGCUAUUAUAUGUUUGCGCUCGUUUUUGUUGUUUUUGAUGUGGAAACCGUCUUUCUAUACCCUUGGGCAAUGAGUUUCGAUGUAUUGGGUGUAUCCGUUUUUAUCGAAGCUUUGAAUUUCGUGCUUAUCUUAGUUGUUGGUUUAGUUUAUGCAUGGCGAAAAGGAGCCUUGGAAUGGUCUUAACUGAAUAUUUAGACAAAAAAAGAAGGAAAAGAUUCUAUUGAGACAGUUAUGAAUUUGAUUGAGUUUCCCUUACUUGACCAAACAAGUUCCAAUUCUGUUAUUUCAACUACACCAAAUGAUCUUUCGAAUUAGUCAAGACUCUCCAGUUUAUGGCCCCUUCUAUACGAUACCAGUUGUUGUUUCAUUGAAUCUGCUUCAUUAAUAGGCUCACGAUUCGACUUUGAUCGUUAUGGCUUGGUACCAAGAACAAGUCCUAGGCAAGCAGACCUAAUUUUAACAGUCGGUACGGUAACAAUGAAAAUGGCUCCCUCUUUAGUGAGAUUAUACGCGCAAAUGCCUGAACCAAAAUACGUCAUUGCUAUGGGAGCCUAUACUAUUACAGGGGGAAUGUUCAAUAGGGAUUCCUAUAGUACUGUUCGGGGAGUUGAUAAGUUAAUUCCUGUGGAUGUCUACUUGCCGGGCUGCCCACCUAAACCGAAGGCAGUUAUAGAUGCCCUAACAAAACUUCGUAAGAAGAUAUCGCGAGAAAUAGUUGAGGAUCGAACUCUAUCUCAAAAUAAAAAUAGAUGUUUUACUACCAGUCACAAGCUUUAUGUUAGGCGCAGUACUCAUACAGGAACUUAUGAGCAAGAAUUGCUCUAUCAAUCACCAUCUACAUUAGAUAUAUCUUCUGAAACUUUUUUCAAAUCCAAAAGUUCAGUACCUUCCUACAAAUUAGUGAAUUAGGAGAGGGGCUCUUUUGUGUAGAAAAAUAAAAAGCAGGGCAAUCUUUCAAACUUGCAUCCGAAAUGUGAAAUAUUUAUACAAAGAGGGAGAGAUGAAGACAAUGCAGCAGGGUUGGUUAUCUAAUUGGCUAGUCAAACAUGAGGUGGUUCAUAGAUCUUUGGGCUUUGAUCACCGAGGAAUAGAGACUUUACAAAUAAAAGCAGGGGAUUGGGAUUCCAUUGCUGUCAUUUUAUAUGUAUAUGGUUACAAUUAUUUACGCUCCCAAUGUGCUUAUGAUGUAGCACCCGGUGGAUCUUUAGCUAGCGUGUAUCAUCUUACGAGAAUACAAUAUAGUAUAGAUAAUCCAGAAGAAGUCUGCAUAAAAGUCUUUGCCCAAAAGGAUAAUCCUAGAAUUCCGUCUAUCUUCUGGAUUUGGAGAAGUGCCGAUUUUCAAGAACGCGAAUCUUAUGAUAUGGUGGGAAUCUCUUAUGAUAAUCAUCCGCGCCUUAAACGUAUCCUAAUGCCUGAAAGUUGGAUAGGCUGGCCCUUACGUAAGGAUUAUAUAACCCCCAAUUUUUAUGAAAUACAAGAUGCUCAUUGAAUGAUAAGAAAUUCAUGCUCACUUAUACAACACAACUCCAGAUUUUAUUCAAGUCAAGGAAUAUUUUUAGGUUCUUUUCCUAGAUGAAACGGAAUACCUAUUUAUAAUUAAUUCCUAAUUAUACAAAAGCAUUCCAGAUAGACUGAGCAAAAAAAGGGUUUCAUUUGGAUUCCCCUAUGUUGAAAAUCGCAUAUUAAUUUCCUUCAUAUGAACAGAAAAAUAGGAUGACUCAAAGAAGUUCUCUACCAGGAACUUUGUACCGCGCACAUUACUUAGCACAACUAGGAAAGUAAGAUAAGAUAAAGAUAAGCAAGACUAAAAAAAUAUUCGUCGGAAUAGCGGAUUACAAAAUUAAGAAACGCAAAAAAAUAAAGGGGAAACUCACCACCUUCUUUAUCAUAAAGAAAAGAUAUAUUUUAAAACUUCUUUAAAAAAGAAAAAGAAGUGCCUCUAUAUUUAUAUUAUAGAUUUAUCCACUUAGAUGAAUAAAUAUUAUUAAUGAAUAUGUAUCACAAUCCAUCUCGAGGUAUUUGGAUCAAUACCUAUUCGGUGGAUCUUUUUUUUUCUCUGCCAGGAACCAGAUUUGAACUGGUGACACGAGGAUUUUCAGUUCUCUGCUCUACCAACUGAGCUAUCCUGACCUUUUCUUGUGCAUCAUCCUAGUAGAGUAUUUGUAUCUAUGUCAAUUAAAAGGACUAAAAAUUAAUUAAAGUAUUUCAAAUUUAAAAUUUGAAAAUGGGGGGGUAGUCCUAUGCAUUGUGCAUGGUUUACUUAAAUAAAACUUAAAAAUAGAGUGAAUAACCAAGAUUUCUUGCCGAUACUCUAAUAAAAAAGAAAUCUAUUCAAUGAAUAGGAUAAGAUCCAUUGAGUUCUCUUCGCAUUCCUUUGUGAAAGAGUAGAAUGAGAAAGCUAAUGAAUCUUAAACCCAUUGCAUUGAUAAAAAAAAAAGAGGAUAAAUAAUAAUAAUAUAGUAUAGUUAGGGAAUAAAAGAGGAUUUGGGGAUAGAGGGACUUGAACCCUCACAACUUUUAAAGUCGAUGGAUUUUCCUUUUACUAGAAAUUUCAUUGUUGUCAGUAUUGACAUGUAGAAUGGGACUCUCUCUUUGCCCUCGUCUGAUUAAUCCACUUUUUUAAAGAUCUCGAAAACUUUGAAUUUGAAUUGAAGAAUUUGAUUAUUCAAUAUUCGAUUGGAGUGGACUCACAAUAAUGAAAAAAAAAUGUGAUAUGAGUUUUUUUUCAUAAUCAUUAUCAUUUCUAAUUUCAUUUUUUAAAAAGAUAAAGAACCUAUAUUAUAAUUAUAAUAUAAUAUGAGUUCUGUGAUUAAUCGUUUGCUAUGUCAGUAUCUAUACGUGUUUAUUAAAUGUAUAAGGUAUAAAACCCCUCUUUCUCUAAUUUAGAAUUAGAAGGAAUUCCACUAACAACACAACGUAAUUAACUCGAUUCGUUAGAACAGCUUCCAUUGAGUCUCUGCACCUAUCCUUUUCCUUUGUAUUCUAGUUCGAGAACCCCUUGUUUUCUCAAAACACGGAUUUGGCUCAGGAUUGCCCUUUUUUAAUUCCAGGGUUUCUCUGAAUUUGGAAGUUACCACUUAGCAGGUUUCCAUACCAAGGCUCAAUACAAUCAAGUCCGUAGCGUCUACCAAUUUCGCCAUAUCCCCAUUUCCCUCUUCUUUGAGACCAGGAUUCCUUGUGUAAUUUCAUCCAUCUCUUAGUUUUUUUUGAAUCAUUGAGUUCAUCACUCAACGUAGUCUAGCAGUUCAGUUCGACUCUAUUUGAGAGACCUCACUUGCUUAUUGCAAUUCAGAAUUGAAUUGAUUCUAUCCUUGAUGUAUUUGCAAUUCAAUCCGAAUCAAUAUAUCCAAAAGUUUUUAUCUCCCCCACCUCCCGUCUUACUUUUUUAUAGUAUUCAAAAUUAUACUAUAACGCUUGAUAUUUAUUCUUUUUUUCUAAUCAGAAUUAGCAAUUUUAUUUACUCUGACUCUAUGUUCCCCUUAGUGAAAUAUUAAUCCUCAAAUUAUUAACAAAUAAUAAAGUCUAUAAUGAUCAAAUGAAAAUACCAAUAAAUUCUAUAAUUUUAUUUUUUAAUAUCCUAUAGUUAACCAUAUCAAGCUAACUUUAUCUUUAAGAAGUUUUAGUAUUUUUUUAUUUUUAUAAGUAUAACUUCAAAUUUAGAACUAGUUAAUAGCUAAGAUUAAUAACUAAUAUCUGAGAUUUUACGGAUUUCCUAUACUAUACCUAUUUCUAUUUGUUAGACUAUUUCCGUUAUGUAAGCCCACUUAGCUCAGAGGUUAGCGCAUCGCAUUUGUAAUGCGAGGGUCAUCGGUUCAAAUCCGAUAGUCGGCUUUUUUUUUCUCUAUCGAUGUUCUACGAACAAGAAUCUCUUUUUUUCCGAAUUAAAUGGAGAAUCCAGGAUCUUUUAUGUUUUUUACCUUACAAUUUUCCUAGAUACAAAACAAUGAAAUAAAUAAUAUAUAUACAAAAAAUAAAGAUUUUGAUGAAAUUCCAUUUUUUUGGGUACUUUAGUUGAUUUUACUCUGUUUAUCCUGUAGUUUAAUUCAGUUUUAAUUUCGAUGUAUUCUGUAAUGUAAAUAUAAUGAAAUUAAUUGUGUAAAAUGAAAUUUCAAUAAAAUAAAAAAGGAGUCUUCAUGUCCCGUUAUCGAUGACCUCGUUUAAAAAAAUACGCCGUCUGGGAGCUUUACCAGGACUCACUAGAAAAACACCUAAAUCCGGAAGUAAUCUUAAAAAAAAUUCAAUUAUGGGAAAAAGGAGCAAUAUCGUAUUCGUCUUCAAGAAAAACAGAAAUUGCGUUUUCAUUAUGGUCUGACAGAACGACAAUUACUUACAUAUGUACAUAUCGCUGGAAAAGCAAAAAGGUCAACAGGCCAGGUUUUACUACAAUUACUUGAAAUGCGUUUGGAUAAUAUCCUUUUUCGAUUGGGUAUGGCUUCAACCAUUCCUGGGGCCCGCCAAUUAGUCAACCAUAGACAUAUUUUAGUUAAUGGUCGUAUAGUCAAUAUACCAAGUUUUCGUUGCAAACCCCGAGAUAUUAUUACUUCGAAAGAUAACCAAAGAUCAAAAGGUCUGGUUCAAAAUUAUAUUGCUUCAUCGGACCCGGGGAAAUUGCCAAAGCAUUUGGCGAUUGACACGUUGGAAUAUAAAGGACUAUUAAAUAAAAUCCUAGAUAGGAAGUGGGUCGGUCUCAAAAUAAAUGAGUUGUUAGUUGUAGAAUAUUACUCUCGUCAGACUUGAACUUAACGAAAAAAGGAAAGGUUCAUAGAAUUUUCUUCCCCUUCCCCUUUCCCCGAACUAAAUCGCCCUAAGACCAUUACCAUUAAUUUGUAUUUUCCCAUCAACUAGCUAAAAUUGAUUAACCCUAGGAUUAGGAUCCUUUUUUCUUUUUUCCUCCAUGUGUAUUUUACAUACCACAGUAAUUUGCUAUAGAGAAUUUCUAAUUUCUAUUAAAUCAAAAUAAGAAAAUAUAAGAUAUUAUUGCUGAAAAAAUUGUUAUUUGAUUUGAUACAUUGUGCUCCUUAACGUUGAUGAAUUAAGAAAAACGGAAAGAGAGGGAUUCGAACCCUCGGUAAACAAAAGUCUACAUAGCAGUUCCAAUGCUACGCCUUGAACCGCUCGGCCAUCUCUCCUACAUAACUUAUUAUGGAAAAUAAACUGAGUGAAUAGCGAGUUUUCUUAUUCCUGCAGUACAGGUACAACCGCAACCACUCGGGGGUUCCAUAGUUCUAUUGGAAAAAUUCCUUUUGAUCUAAGUGGAAGGAUACAUGAUUUUUUACUAGCAAUUGCGCUCGCUAUAAAAUAAAAGUUUUAAUUUGGGUUUUCCCACAACUAAAGAAAAAGAAAAUGGAAGAAUUCUUCUUAUUGCAUAAUAAAAUAAAGAAACCUUUGAAUUCCGUUUGCAAAAGAUACGCUACACCAUACUAUCGAAAUCAAAAAUAGGGUAUGAGACAAUUAAUAACUUUGAAAACACGAAAUAGUUGAUAACAUAAGUUGUUGUUCAGAAAUAGCAAAGUGGAAUGAAAUCCAGUCUUAGUCAAAUAUUUCAUAUCUCUUCGUGUCCAAGCAGAAGGAAAAGGAUACAAUUUGAGCUGAGCGGAAAAUCCAUAUCUCUAUCUCUCUUAUCCAUUUAAAGCAUAUGGAUUUAGAGUAGAGCAUAUGGAUCAAUCUAUUUAUAAUUAUAAGAAUCGAAUGUGUUUGUUUUUAUGUUAUUUUGUGAAGGAAUGAAAACAAUUAUAUAUAGAAUGGGUUGGGAAUUAUGCCUAGAUCCCGUGUAAAUGGAAAUUUCAUUGAUAAGACCUCCUCAAUUGUAGCCAAUAUUUCAUUGCAAAUAAUUCCGACAACCUCAGGAGAAAAAAAGGCAUUUACUUAUUAUAGAGAUGGUGCGAUUUGACUCUUUUUUUUGCUUUUUUUAGCCCUACCUAUACCUCAGUCUUACGAAAAAGAGAGGGGGUUGGCAUAGAGAGAACCAAAAUUGUAAAGCAAACAACCCACGCUUCGGGAAGGUGAGGCGAACUAACAAUUCCUUCCGUCGUGUAUCCUCGAUUGAUGCGGCUUCAGAUACUUCAAUUGUAGAUUUGAGUAUUGAGCGAAAGGUUACACCUACAGGAUAUGGUAUCGUAUAGAUUACAGGCCAAUCCUACUCUAUUAGUAUCCGUAGGCAGCAUAGGGGAGAAAAGCACUACACCUAGAAAUAGGAAUCAACAAGAGAAAAACUUUGUUAGAAAUUACCCCUUUCCUGAUCGGUAUCAGGGCUGGGAAGAAUGGUUGGGAUAACAAACAACCAUCAGGUUUGUACUUUGGAUAUCCCUAUAACCAUCAAAGAUCGUUGAAGUAGCUAAUUCCUCUAAAUAGGAGGCGUUGAGAACAAAGAAAUUAUUGGAGCUAUCGUUUUCCUCUAGCAUUAAUAGAAUUCAUUGGUGUUAAGAAAAACCUCUUGUGGGAAGGUUGGCUAGAGAUUUCUUGGAAAAAUACCAGCCCCUUUCGGUUAAUAAUGAGACGGGACUAAUUCUAUUUUGAUUCUAUAGAUUAUUUCGCUUAGUACUAUUAUGUACAGAAGGGAGGAGCCGUAUGAGAUGAAAACCUCAUGUACGGUUUUGGAACGGAGAUUUUUUGAAUAGAAUGAACGACCGUAACGGAUGUUGGCUCAAUCCGAAUGAAAUUAUGCGGAAGCUUUGCAAAAUUAUUAUGAAGCUACGCGAGUAGAAAUCGAUCCCUAUGAUCGAAGUUAUAUACUCUAUAACAUAGGCCUUAUACACACAAGCAAUCGAGAGCAUACAAAGGCUUUGGAAUAUUAUUUCCAGGCACUAGAACGAAACCCCUUCUUACCGCAAGCUUUUAAUAAUAUGGCCGUGAUCUGUCAUUACGUGCAACUAUCUCCACUAUAGAAAGAAAAAAAAGAGGAUCAAAUUUUCUAGUAAAUACUAGAAAAAAGGGCUUUCUACAUAGGGAUCAUAAAAACAACGAUUUUUCCCUAUCAGCUGUAGGAAGGAAGGACACUUCACGAGAAUCAAAAAACGAAGAAAGUAUGGCCUAUACUACUACUCUAUGGAUAAAGUUUCUCAAAUUGAUAGAGAAAGCACCGUAAAGAUCAAUUAGUGAGCGACUGGGUCGAUACAACUAAAAAACUGCUUACUUAUCCCAUGAUAUGGGGCAAAAUUUAGGAAUCCGCUUAUGUAAUAGAGCCGAUCCACUAAGGGAUUAAGCAGCGGUGUAGUAUCAGAUCCCAAAGAUAGUAAGUUCUUUUUUCUUUCUUAUGGAAAAAGUCUUUUUCAAGGAUUCUAUAGAGAUUUCAGAUAUGAAAACGGGAUAGUUACCAUUCAAAAAAUUUGAACGAAGGCUCUAUAUCUAUCUAUGCUUCAUUCUUCUGAAGGUGGGAAAAAAGAUCAAACUGAUUAUUGAUAAAAAUUAGGGUUUGAAACUUAGGUAAUUAAUUUCUUCUGCUUAACCCAAGAAAAAAUUGGAUCGAUUUUUGAUAAAUCGAAUUCAGUUAAGAUAGGGGAAAUUCAGAUAGCAAUUUCUGAGCCGUAUGAGGUAGGAAACACUCAAGUACGGUUCUAAGGGAAGGAACUUCCUAUUCCGACCGAGGAGAACAGGCCAUUCUACAGGGUGAUUCGGAAAUUGCGGAAGCUUGGUUUGAUCAAGCUGUUGAAUAUUGGAAACAAGCUAUAGCGCUUACUCCGGGAAAUUAUAUUGAAGCACAGAACUGGUUGAAGAUUACGAAGCGCUUUGAAUUUGAAUAAGACCAUGCUCCUUCUUUUCAUAAAAUGGGUGGUUUGGUUGUUGAUCCAUUAAUCAAAUAAAUUAGGUCGUAAGAUCGAAUCAAGAAUUUCAUUAUAUCCAUUUCUUAUACCUUCUAUUUUAUACGAUAUUUCAUAAGAAUAAACCAUAGGGAUAGGGUCUAGAAUAGAAGUAAUAAACUGAAUAAAAAGAGGGGGCAAUCUAAAUAUUGCUAAUAUAUUAGGACCAUCUUAUUAAUAAUUCUAAUGAGUUAUCUUGGAAUUUAGAAUCAAAUAAAAAACCCUAUAUUAUGCUCAAGGAAAGUAGAUAUAGAUAGGAGCUUAUGCCCUCAAAAAAAUACACUAGUUUCUUAAAUUAAAAAUAAAAAAGAUUUUUUUCUUAUGUCGAGAAAUAUUUGUUUUUCAAGAUAAACAAUGUCUGUUAGGCACCUAAUCUUUAUGUCAUAAUAGACCCGAACACUUGCCUCGGAUUGACUUCAAUAUAUAAUUGCUCCAGUGAAUAACUAAAAAAAAUAGAAGGAUGGUAGAUAGUAAAGAAAAGAACUAAUCACAAUAUCUAUCUUUCAAAAUAUAUAUCUUUCAAAGAUUCACUAAAAAGACAGUUGGCGGGUCUCUUUGUAUGUCUUGUCCGGAAAGAGGAGGACUUAAUGAUUAUUCGUUCGCCGGAACCAGAAGUAAAAAUUGUUGUGGAUAGGGAUCCUAUAAAAACAUCUUUUGAGGAAUGGGCCACACCCGGCCAUUUCUCAAGAACACUAGCUAAGGGCCCUGAUACUACCACUUGGAUCUGGAACCUACAUGCUGAUGCUCACGAUUUUGAUAGUCAUACUGGUGAUUUGGAGGAGAUUUCUCGAAAAGUCCUUAGUGCUCAUUUCGGGCAACUUUCCAUUAUCUUUCUCUGGUUGAGUGGCAUGUACUUUCAUGGCGCCCGUUUUUCCAAUUAUGAAGCAUGGCUAAGUGAUCCUACUCAGAUUGGACCCAGUGCUCAGGUAGUUUGGCCUAUAGUAGGGCAAGAAAUAUUGAAUGGUGAUGUAGGCGGGGGUUUCCGAGGAAUCCAAAUAACCUUUGGUUUUUUUCAGCUUUGGCGAGCAUCUGGAAUAACUAGUGAAUUACAACUCUAUUGUACUGCAAUUGGUGCAUUGAUUUUUGCAGCGUUAAUGCUUUUUGCUGGUUGGUUCCAUUAUCACGAAGCCGCUCCCAAAUUGGCCUGGUUCCAAGAUGUAGAAUCCAUGUUGAAUCACCACUUAGCGGGAUUAUUAGGACUUGGGUCUCUUUCUUGGGCGGGGCACCAAAUUCAUGUAUCUUUACCAAUUAACCAAUUUCUUGACGCUGGGGUGGAUCCUAAAGAGAUACCACUUCCUCAUGAAUUUAUCUUGAAUCGGGACCUUUUGGCUCAACUUUAUCCUAGUUUUGCCGAAGGAGCAACCCCUUUUUUCACUUUAAAUUGGUCCAAAUACGCAGAAUUUCUGACUUUUCGCGGAGGACUAGAUCCAGUAACCGGUGGUCUCUGGCUGACCGAUAUUGGGCACCAUCAUUUAGCUAUUGCUAUUCUUUUCCUAAUCGCAGGUCAUAUGUAUAGGACCAAUUGGGGUAUUGGCCAUGGACUUAAAGAUAUUUUGGAGGCUCACAAGGGCCCAUUUACAGGACAAGGCCAUAAGGGUCUUUAUGAAAUCUUAACAACGUCAUGGCAUGCUCAAUUAUCUCUUAACCUAGCUAUGCUAGGCUCUACAACCAUUGUUGUAGCUCAUCAUAUGUAUUCUAUGCCUCCCUAUCCAUACCUAGCUACUGACUAUGGUACACAACUUUCCUUGUUCACACACCACAUGUGGAUUGGCGGAUUUCUAAUAGUCGGUGCUGCUGCACAUGCAGCAAUUUUUAUGGUAAGAGACUAUGAUCCAACUACUCGAUACAACGAUCUAUUAGAUCGCGUCCUUAGACACCGCAAUGCAAUCAUAUCCCACCUUAACUGGGUAUGUAUAUUUCUAGGUUUUCACAGUUUUGGCUUGUACAUUCAUAAUGAUACCAUGAGUGCUUUAGGCCGUCCACAAGAUAUGUUUUCGGAUACUGCCAUACAAUUACAACCUAUCUUUGCUGAAUGGGUACAAAAUAUCCAUGCUACUGCGCCUGGCGUAACAGCUCCUGGUGCAACAACAAGUACUAGCUUAACGUGGGGAGGCGGCGAGUUAGUAGCAGUAGGUGGCAAAGUGGCUUUGUUACCUAUUCCAUUAGGAACCGCAGAUUUUUUAGUCCAUCACAUUCAUGCAUUUACCAUACAUGUGACUGUGUUAAUACUUUUGAAAGGUGUUUUAUUUGCUCGGAGUUCCCGUUUGAUACCCGAUAAAGCAAAUCUAGGUUUUCGCUUUCCUUGCGAUGGGCCUGGCCGAGGGGGAACAUGUCAAGUAUCCGCCUGGGAUCAUGUUUUCUUAGGUUUAUUCUGGAUGUACAAUGCAAUUUCGGUAGUCAUUUUCCAUUUCAGUUGGAAAAUGCAGUCGGAUGUUUGGGGUACUAUAAGUGAUCAAGGGGUGGUAACUCAUAUUACAGGGGGAAACUUUUCACAGAGUUCCAUUACGAUUAAUGGGUGGCUUCGAGAUUUCUUGUGGGCACAGGCAUCGCAAGUGAUUCAGUCUUAUGGUUCUUCAUUAUCUGCAUAUGGUCUUUUUUUCUUAGGUGCUCAUUUUGUCUGGGCCUUCAGUUUAAUGUUUUUAUUCAGCGGUCGUGGUUAUUGGCAAGAACUCAUUGAAUCUAUCAUUUGGGCUCAUAACAAAUUAAAAGUUGCUCCUGCUACUCAGCCUAGAGCCUUGAGCAUUAUACAAGGACGCGCUGUAGGAGUAACCCAUUACCUUCUGGGUGGAAUUGCCACAACAUGGGCAUUCUUCUUAGCGAGAAUUAUUGUAGUAGGAUAGUGGCUAGGAGGAUUUGAAAGGCAUUAUGGAAUUAAGAUUUCCCAGGUUUAGCCAAGGCUUAGCUCAGGACCCCACUACUCGUCGUAUUUGGUUUGUUAUUGCUACCGCACAUGAUUUCAAAAGUCAUGACGAUAUUACUGAAGAACGUCUUUAUCAGUACAUUUUUGCUUCUCACUUUGGGCAAUUAGCAAUAAUCUUUCUAUGGACGUCCGGAAAUCUGUUUCAUGUAGCUUGGCAAGGAAAUUUUGAAUCAUGGAUACAGGAUCCUUUACACGUAAGACCUAUUGCUCAUGCGAUUUGGGAUCCUCAUUUUGGUCAACCCGCUGUGGAAGCCUUUACUCGAGGAGGUGCUGCUGGUCCAGUGAAUAUAGCUUAUUCUGGAGUUUAUCAGUGGUGGUAUACAAUAGGAUUACGCACCAAUGAGGAUCUUUAUAUUGGAGCUCUUUUUCUAUUAUUUCUUUCUAUGUUGUCCUUAAUAGCGGGUUGGUUACAUCUACAACCCAAAUGGAAACCAAGCCUUUCGUGGUUCAAAAACGCGGAAUCUCGUCUCAAUCAUCAUUUGUCAGGACUUUUCGGGGUAAGUUCUUUGGCUUGGACAGGACAUUUAGUUCAUGUUGCUAUUCCCGCAUCCAGGGGGUGUACGUUCGAUGGAAUAAUUUCUUAGAUGUAUUACCCUAUCCCCAGGGGUUGGGACCCCUUUUGACGGGUCAAUGGAAUCUUUAUGCCCAAAACCCUGAUUCGAGUAAUCAUUUAUUUGGUAUCGCUCAAGGAGCGGGAACUGCCAUUCUAACUCUUCUUGGGGGAUUCCAUCCACAAACGCAAAGUUUGUGGCUGACCGAUAUGGCUCACCAUCAUUUAGCUAUUGCAUUUAUUUUUCUCAUUGCCGGUCACAUGUAUCGAACUAACUUCAGAAUUGGGCACAGUAUUAAAGAUCUUUUAGAAGCGCAUACUCCUCCGGGGGAUCGAUUAGGGCGUGGGCAUAAGGGCCUUUAUGACACAAUCAACAAUUCGAUUCAUUUUCAGUUAGGUCUUGCUCUAGCUUCUUUAGGGGUUAUUACUUCCUUAGUAGCUCAACAUAUGUACUCUUUACCUCCUUAUGCAUUCAUAGCACAAGACUUUACUACUCAAGCUGCUUUAUAUACUCAUCACCAAUAUAUUGCAGGGUUCAUCAUGACAGGGGCUUUUGCUCAUGGAGCUAUUUUUUUCAUUAGGGAUUACAAUCCGGAACAGAAUGAGGAUAAUGUAUUGGCAAGAAUGUUAGACCAUAAAGAAGCUAUCAUAUCUCAUUUAAGUUAGGCUAGCCUCUUUCUAGGAUUCCAUACCUUGGGCCUUUAUGUUCAUAACGACGUCAUGCUUGCUUUUGGUACUCCAGAAAAGCAAAUCUUGAUCGAACCUAUAUUUGCCCAAUGGAUACAAUCUGCUCAUGGCAAGACGAUAUAUGGGUUCGAUAUACUCUUAUCUUCAACGAAUGGCCCCGCUUUCAAUGCGGGUCGAAGCCUAUGGUUGCCCGGAUGGUUGAAUGCUGUUAAUGAGAAUAGUAAUUCGCUUUUCUUAACAAUAGGACCUGGGGAUUUCUUGGUUCAUCAUGCUAUCGCUCUACGUUUGCAUACAACUACAUUGAUUUUAGUAAAGGGCGCUUUAGAUGCACGCGGUUCCAAAUUAAUGCCAGAUAAAAAGGAUUUUGGAUAUAGUUUUCCUUGUGACGGCCCAGGGCGCGGCGGUACUUGUGAUAUUUCUGCUUGGGACGCAUUUUAUUUGGCAGUUUUCUGGAUGUUAAGUACCAUUGGGUGGGUUACUUUUUAUUGGCAUUGGAAACAUAUCACAUUAUGGCAGGGCAACGUUUCACAAUUUAAUGAAUCCUCCACUUAUUUGAUGGGAUGGUUAAGAGAUUACCUAUGGUUAAACUCUUCACAACUUAUCAAUGGAUAUAAUCCUUUUGGGAUGAAUAGUUUAUCGGUAUGGGCGUGGAUGUUCUUAUUUGGACAUCUUGUUUGGGCUACUGGAUUUAUGUUCUUAAUUUCCUGGCGGGGGUAUUGGCAGGAAUUAAUUGAGACUUCAGCAUGGGCUCAUGAACGCACACCUUUAGCUAAUUUAAUUCGCUGGAGAGAUAAGCCCGUGGCUCUUUCCAUUGUGCAAGCAAGAUUGGUUGGAUUAGCUCAUUUUUUCGUGGGUUAUAUAUCCACUUAUGCAGCUUUCUUGAUUGCCUCAACAUCAGGAAAGUUUGGUUAAUUUAGUUUGUUUUUUUGUACUGUAUCAGCACCUAGUUCAUUACUCUUGAUAGAGAGGGAGGAUCUUCCUUUUUAGAUUUCUUUUUCUAUUUAUUUUUCCAUCUAGGAUUAGAACCGUAUACUUGGUAAUAAUAGCAACGACACAUUAUGGCAAAAAAAGUUUGAUUCAGAGGGAGAAGAAGCGGCAGAAAUUAGAACAGAAAUAUCAUUUGAUUCGUCAAUCUUUAAAAAAAAGAUAAGAAGCAAAGUUUCUCCCUUGAGUUUGAGUGAAAAAACGAAAAUGCGAGAAAAAUUGCAAUCCCUACCGCGUAAUAGUGCACCUACACGCCUUCAUCGACGUUGUUUUUUGACCGGAAGACCUAGAGCUAACUAUCGACAUUUUGGGCUAUCCAGACACGUACUUCGAGAUAUGGUUUAUGAGUGUUUGUUACCGGGUGCAACAAGAUCCAGUUGGUAAGGAUAAAAUACCCUUUCGUAUUUGUAUGGAUUUCUGGAAUUGAUAAUCAUAGAGGAGCCCUCUUUACCAUUCUGUAUAAAUGGACUAUUCUAUUUGUAUAGACAUUGGUAGAGGGGCGUAUCCAACCCUCUUUUAUCCACUAGUUACCCCUCUUUAGUUUAAGAGUAUAGAGCAGUUUGGUAGCUCAUAAGGCUCAUAACCUUGGGGUUGCGGGUUCGAUUCCCACUACCGGCUCCAUACUCCUUCUUUAUGAUAUAUGCAUGAUAUAAUAUAUACAUCAUGCAUUUGUAUCUGGAUUUUUUGAUUUCCUAAAAGAGUUUUGGUCUAACAGUUUUUUCUCGGAAGAAGCAAAAAAAUAAAAGAAAGAAUAAAAUAUGAAAGAAAAGCGUCCAUUGUCUAAUGGAUAGGAAAGAGGUCUUCUAAACCUUUGGUAUAGGUUCAAAUCCUAUUGGAUGAAAUCUUAUUUCUAUCUAUUCUUUAAAUAACUAUACUAAACUAAAAACAAAGAAAACUUUUUUGCAUGAUUCAAAUGAAAAAGCUUUCUCAACGAUUCCUAUUCUACUAACAAGAGUAGACAUGCAAAAUUUAUUUGUUACUGAAGAGAAAACCGUUCCAGCUGUUCCUGAAUAGCUUCCUUCAAAAGGAUUUCUGCUUGCUCGGUGAAUGUCUUGCUAGAAGAUAUAAUUUCUUGGAAUUGAGGUUUAGUAUCUUUUAGAUGUUUACGUAACUCAUCCAGAAAUUUAUUUACCUGUUCAAUUUCUAACGAAUCAAGAUAUCCUCUUGUUCCGGUAUAAAUAGUAGCUAUCUGCUCUUCCACUGGGAGAGGAUUUGCCUGGGAUUGUUUAAGCAAUUCCCUUAAUCGUCGACCCCUUGCCAAUUGAUUCUGACUUGUUUUAUCGAGAGCAGAGGCGAAUUGUGCAAAGGCUUGUAACUCUGCGAAUUACGCUAGUUCCAAUUUUGAUUUGCCAGCUACUUGUUUCAUGGCUUUAAUUUGAGCCGCGGAUCCUACUCUGGAAACAGAAAUACCCACAUUAAUAGCGGGUCGAAUUCCGGCAUUGAAUAGAUCCGCAGAUAAGAAUAUUUGUCCAUUUGUAAUGGAGAUUACAUUAGUAGGAAUAUAGGCGGAAACGUCUCCAGAUUGAGUCUCAACUAUUGGUAAAGUGGUCAUACUUCCUUCGCCUAAAAGAGAAUUUAAUUUAGCAGCUCUUUCUAAAAGGCGUGAAUGCAAAUAAAAAACAUCCCCUGGAUAAGCCUCACGGCCGGGAGGUCUUCUUAAUAGAAGGGACAUUUGGCGAUAAGCUUGUGCCUGUUUGGAGAGAUCAUCAUAAAUUAUUAAAGUAUGUCGUUCGCGGUACAUAAAAUACUCAGCCAGGGCUGCUCCCGUAUAAGGAGCGAGGUAUUGUAAUGUAGCAGGUGAAUCCGCCAUUUCAGCUACUACAAUAGUGUAUUCCAUAGCCCCCUCCUCAUGGAAAGUAGUUACUACUUGAGCUACGGAGGAUGCUCUUUGACCGAUAGCUACAUAAACACAUAUUACACCUUGCCCUUUUUGAUUGAGAAUUGUAUCUGUGGCUACUGCUGUUUUGCCAGUCUCUCUGUCCCCAAUAAUUAACUCUCGCUGACCGCGCCCUAUAGGGAUCAUCGAAUCGAUAGCAAUAAGCCCUGUUUGAAGAGGUUCGUAUAUGGAACGCCUGGAAAUUAUACAUGGAGCAGGAGAUUCAAUUAAGCAAGAUUCGGAAGCUAUAAUUUCGCCUUUCCCAUCAAUAGGUUUAGCCAGAGCAUUUACAACACGACCCAAGUAAGCCUCACUCACGGGUAUCUGAGCAAUUCUUCCUGUUGCUUUUACAAAACUUCCCUCUUGUAUCAUCAACCCAUCGCCCAUUAAUACAAUCCCAACAUUUUUGGAUUCCAAAUUCAGAGCAAUACCCCUAGUACCUUCUGCAAAUUCGACUAAUUCACCUGACAUUAUUUCACCAAGACCUAUAAUACGAGCAAUCCCAUCCCCCACUUGAACUACGCAACCUAUAUUCUCAAUCCCUACUUUCCUAUUAUAUUGUUCAAUACGUUCGCGGAGAAUUUUAUGAAUUUCGUCGACUCGAAGGGUUGCCAUUAGUGUUUCUUGACUCUUUUUUCGGAAGCAAGGGGAAAUAUAAUGCCUAAAUUCUAAACGAAAGUAGAAGUUCAUGGCCUAAUUAAUUUAAUUAUCUCUUCCAUUCCAGGGACCCGAGAAUGCCAAUAUUAGCACGAAUCGUACGAAAAUGUAACUCGGUAUUCAAACAACUAUUCAGAGUUCCUGGAGCUCCUCGUACGGCCUGUUGGAAAACCCGCUGUCGGACCUGAUUCAUUGCCCUUUGUUUUUCAAAAUAAAGGGUUUCGUUUUUAGAUUUUUCCAAUUGUUCCAAACUAAUAGAAGUAGCAUUAAUCAAAUUUGCUUUUUCUCGUUCUAUCUCAGAGUAUCCAUUCAUUCGAUACUCAUCCGCUUCUAGUUCGACUUUCUGUAAUCGAAUCCGAGCUUUUUCGAGUUGCUCAAUGGUCCCUCUACGCAAUUCUUCUGAAUUUUGAAUAGUACUCAAGAUCCUCUGUUUUCGAUUAUCUAAUAAAUCUUUUAAUGAAAGUAGAUUAUUUUGUAAGUUUACAACUUUUAUGAUCUCUUCCCAAACCAAACAUGAAUCUUUCGAUUCAUUUGGCUCUCACGCUCCUUUUUUUCUAUAGCUAUUUCCAUAUCUUUUUUUAAGUAAUGAGCCUAUCCUCUAUCUUAUUUUUUAUGUUUAUAUUUCAAUAUACAGAAACCUAUAUAAGACUAGAUAAAUAUUAAGAGGACUCUUCCGCCUAGAUAAAAAUAUAUCAUGGUCAGCAAAGUUGUUUCUAUAUUUUUAUUUGCCCUCUAGUUAAUAAUUUCAAUUUCAUUAAGAAAAACUAACUAAAUAAAUGGAAAAUGAAAAUUUAUAGAAUUCUUUUUUAUUUUUUUCUUCAAAUCCAAAAAAUUUCUCUUUUUAUACAUAGGUCGUCGAUUCGGCAUUGGUUAAAAAAGGGCAGGGUGCCCCCUUUUUUUCUAGUAAAUAGUUCAAACCAUUUUAUCGAUAUGAGUGUUCUAUAUUAGAUAAAUUUUACAUUAGCUAUUUCCCGUUAUUAUUCGGUACUAAUACUAACAUAGUUGUAGAAAGAGUACCUCUUUUUGCCUGGACUUCAAGCAGUUUAGCUUUAACCGUGUUAAUGGUCUCACAUUCUUGGUUUAUAGAGAAUCAAAGUUGAUUUACCAAUGAGUCGCAAAAUGCUAUGGUUCUUCCAUAUGAUUUCUGAAUUUAUUCAGAAGUAAUUCGUCGAGAUCGUGCACCCUUUUCUUAUUUAUCCAAAAAUACUAAAAAAUAUUAUAAAGUACAGCCAGAUAGAUCCAAUCUAUUCUUGAAAUAGACAACUCGCACACACUCCCUUUCCAAAAAAAAUCAAAACACCAACCACUACAGUUAGAUUUAUUAGAUUUGUUGCUAAAAUAUUGGUAUUAAGCCCGAAACUGCCAGCGGAUGGCCAGUGAGCUAAAAAAAAUGAAAGAAUGGGUUACAUUUUUCAUAUGCUCUCCUCUUAUAGAUAGGACGAACAAAGAACAAAGUUUUUCGAUCACUUACUUCGCUCGCCCUUUUUUGAUCGGUUUUUUUAAUGCAAAUAGAUUCAAUCUAGUAAUUUCUUUUAGAUUAAGUCUUACGUCUUGUUUGACCGGUGAAAGACUUCCUUUGUUGAAAUUUUCUGUUCCCAAAAUUCCUAAAAUAAAAGGAAAAAACUUUCCACUUUCCUAAACUAAGGACGGGAAAUAAGAAGGUGAGCAUAUCUUCUAAAUUAAUAAUACUCAACUCAGCCCUUCCUAGAAUGGGGUAUUAUCUGUCCCGAUAAAUAGAUAAUUCCAGGAGUAAUAAAUAGGAGUAAAUUAAAUAAAGUAUUGAUAUAAUUGGAAUUGUGGAAGCAAAUACCAAUUUACUAAAAAAAGAAAAAAGUAUCUAAUCGAAAUCGAAAGAAUUUUUUUAAGAUUAAACAAAAGGGUUCGCAAAUAAAAGCGCUAGUGCCACAACUAGUCCAUAAAUUGUUAAAGCUUCCAUAAAAGCUAGACUAAGCAAUAAAGUACCUCGUAUUUUACCUUCUGCUUCUGGCUGUCUCGCAAUACCUUCUACAGCUUGUCCUGCAGUAGUACCUUGACCAACUCCAGGUCCAAUAGAAGCAAGCCCUACGGCCAAUCCAGCAGCAAUAACAGAAGCAGCAGCAAUUAGUGGAUUCAUGGUGAGUAGUUCCUCGUGUCAAAAAAAAGAAAUGGUUAAGGAUACAAUCAACCAAUAAAUUCUUACUUCUAAGCUCUAUUGGGGAGAAGUAAAGUAACUAAAAAGUACAAAUUGAAAUCAAAUUGAAAUGAUAAUGUGAAUUGUCCGAACUACAUAGAAGGGAAUUCCAUAUCCAUAUAUCGGAUUAGAUAAUGAAUCUAACCUAGGAAUAUAUAAUAUAAUAUCCUAUAUAUAUAUAUAUAUACAUUUGUUUCUUCUAUUUUGUUUGCAUAUUUUCUCAUUUUCUAUUGAAUCGGAUUCUAAAAUCAUUGCUUAAGGUGGAAACCUGCAUAAAAGAGGACUCCACUUAUAGACAUUAAGGAUAUUAUAGUAUAGAUCUAGCCUGACUCCACCCUCCUUAAUGCAUAUAUACUUUGAAAAUUCCAUAAUAUAGUCUAUUCUAUUCUCUCUCCUACAACUCUAGGCUAUAUAUUCAUACGCAUUUCUAACUAUUUUUUUGCAACCAAGCAGAUUAUCUGGAACCAUGCAUGAAUUGAGCUAAGCUGCAAAAAAAUUACUAUUUCCAAAAAGAGUCAAUUCAAUGAUGACCCUCCAUGGAUUCACCUAUAUAGGCUGCGGCUAAUGUUGCAAAAAUAAGAGCUUGAAUACCGCUUGUAAAUAAUCCAAGAAACAUGACCGGUAUAGGGAUUACUAAGGGGACUAAAGAAACAAGAACAACAACGACUAAUUCAUCCGCCAAUAUAUUCCCGAAAAGUCAAAAGCUAAGCGAUAAUGGUUUUGUGAAAUCUUCUAGGAUGUUAAUUGGUAAAAGGAUUGGAGUUGGUUUAAUAUAUUUCUCGAAAUAGCUCAAUCCUUUUUUGCUAAGACCAGCAUAAAAAUAUGCCACUGACGUGAGUAAAGCUAAAGCAACAGUAGUAUUUAUAUCAUUCGUGGGCGCUGCUAAUUCCCCAUGGGGUAACUCUAUAAUUUUCCAAGGUAAAAGAGCACCCGACCAAUUCGAAACAAAAAUAAAAAGGAACAUAGUUCCAAUAAAGGGAACCCAGGGACCAUAUUCUUCUCCAAUCUGAGUUUUGCUCAAGUCUCGAAUAAACUCAAGGACAUAUUCAAAAAAAUUCUGACCAUCGGUCGGGAUGGUUUGUGGAUUCCGAACAGCUAUGACAACUGAACCUAGCAAGAUAGUAAUUACGACCCAAGAAGUGAUGAGUACUUGGGCAUGAAUUUGGAAACCUCCUAUUUGCCAAUAGAAGUGUUGGCCUACUUCUACACCCGAUAUAUCAUAUAACCCCUUGAGUGUUUUAAUGGAACAAGGUAUAAUAUUCAUAUUGUCCUCUGAUAAAAAUUGAACUUCAAAAAAGGAAUUCUUUUGAUUCAACCAUCUCUUUCUCAACUCAGCAACUUGAAGUAUUAAUCUUAUAUUUAGGAUACCAAGAAAGCACAUCAGAUCAUAAUAUAUAUCAAUACCCUCUAAUAUAUAUCAAUAUUCCCCUUCUUUUUUCUAUGCAAAAAAAAGAUAUAGUAAAGUAAGUGAUUCCAUAAAUUUACGCAGUUGCCCAAGAAUUCACUAUAUAUUCUUAAUCAACGAUUUCUUAUAUAGAGAGAACGGCCCUCACAAAUUGAAAAUACUAAUUUGUUAAGAAUCAAUCGAAUUGAAGGCAUAGUGUCAUCGUUGGCUGGAAUCGAUAUAUUCGCGAGAUCCGGGUCACAAUUUGUAUCGACUAAAGAAAUAGCAGGAAUCCCCAAAAUGGCACAUUCCCGAAGAGCUAUAUACUCUUUUUGCUGAUCAAGGACGAUCACAAUGUCUGGCAAUCUCGUCAUAUAUUUGAUCUCGCCGAGAUACCUUUGCAAGGUAGAUAAUUUUCUCUUCAAGAUUGCCACAUCUCUUUUUGGGAGAUGGUGGAAUUUUCCCAUUUUUUCUUCUGCUCUUAAGUCUCUAAAUUGAGAAAGUCUAGUUUUCGUAAUCGACCAAUUCGUUAACAUACCACUGAACCACUUUUUAUUAACAUAAUGACAACGAGCCCUUAUUGCAGCUGAUGCUACUAAAUCUGUUGCUCUUUUUUUGGUACCAACAAUUAAGAAACUUUUUCCCUGACUUGCUGCAUCAAAAACUAAAUCACAAGCUUCUGAUAAAAAACGAGCCGUUCUAGUGAGAUUUAUAAUAUGAGUACCUUUACGCUUUGCCGAAAUGUAAGGGGCCAUUUUACGAUUCCAUUUCUUAAUACCAUGACCAAAAUGAACUCCUGCUUCUAUCAUCUCUUUCAAAUUAAUGUUCCAAUAUCUUCUUGUCAUUUUUUCCACACUUCCUUUUUUUAAUCCUACCAUUCCAUUACGGAAUUUAGUUCUUUUUGAAGAUUAAGAAAGAUCCGAAAUAGCUUGAAAUAAAAAAUAUUUUUUAUGUAUCCUUAAAUGAUAUAGGGUUAAAUGUUAAAUGGGGGUUCUUAUGUCUCAUAAAAAUUGUUUGUUACGUCAGAAUCAGAAGAAACUAAUUCUGUAUGGAGAAACAAAAAAUCUCUCAUUUCCGACGUGAAUAGAUUUUUUUUAUUUGGAAAUAAAGGUUCUUGUCUUGUGGGGAACGAUGCACAAAUUUUUGGAAUCUGGUACCAACAGGUAUAAACCCCCCCAGAACUACGUUUUCUUUCAAGCCUUUCAACCAAUCAAUGCGACCUCGUAGGGCAGCUUUUGCUAAAACUCGAGCAGUUUCUUGAAAACUUGCUUCAGAUAUGAAACUUUGGGUAUUUAGGGAAGCCCUUGUUAUUCCCAAUAAGAUUGCCCGAUAAUAGAUCGAUUCAUCCAAAGCUCGUCCUGCUCGUUCCGCUCGCAAUAGUCCGAUUAAUUCCCCAGGCGAGAAAACAUUAGACAUUCCAUCUUCGGAAACCCGCACUUUUGAUGUUACUUGGCGUAUAAUAAUCUCUAUAUGUCUAUUAUGGAUCUGUACCCCUUGGGAUCGAUAAACCUUUUGGAUUUUAUUAACCAAAGAGAUACUACUUUGGGCUAUGGUUAGCUCAGCUCCAAUCAAGAAUCCCCAAGGGACCCCAAGAAUUCUUGGUAUACGCUCAUUCCAAUCCUCAAUUCUCCUUUCGAGAUUCGGGGAUAAUGAAUCAAUUGAACGCGCUUCAAAGAUUUGUUCCACUUUUGGAAGACCUUGCGUUAUGUCACUAGAUCUUGAUUUUUCAUAUAUAAAUGUAACUAACCUAUCUCCCUUGUAAAGGAUUUCUCCAUAAUGACCAUUAACAGUUGCUCCUAUAGUGGCCAAAUAAGGUUUAGCUGCUCUUAUAACAAAGGAAUUCAUAUUUACAAUGAAAAUUUGACCGGAUUUUUUAUGUGCGAUUUAAAUAGACAUACAUUUUCACAAAUAAAUUGUCCAAGGUGAAUUAUUGCCAAUGUCUCUUCCCAAGAAUCAUGAUGGGCAAAGUGACAAUUCAAAAGGAAUGGAUCCAACAUUAUGUUACUAUCGAAAUUAGAAAUCCUUUUAUUUUCAUCUAUUAAAGAGUAUUUAAGUUCUUGAAGUACCUCGAAGGUUUGUUUUAAAUUGUCAACGAACAAAUAUUUUUUUAACAGGAUUUUAUUAUGCGUUAGUAAAUAGUAAGAUGAAGAAAAAUGCGAUAUACUAGCUACAAUAGCGCCUAAGGGCCCAAAAAUUUCUCGAAUAGGAAUUCUAGGAUUCCAUUCUUUUAUCGCAUUGGGAUGUUUUGAAUUCUUGAAUAAACCAAUUCGAGAACAGUUGGAUGCCGACAAAAUCAUCAAAGAGUGGUAUUCUUUAUUUCGAUCCAACAAAGUGCCAAUAGCUUCUGGAUGUUGGCUAAGUGAUUCAAUCUUCGCCUUGGAAUAAAAAGAAUUGAUAUUGGCGCGAUCUAACCUAUUAUGGGGAAUCGGUCCUGCACUUGUCCUACCAUACCUUUUUCAUGUAUACGAAAUAGUGGACUUGACUAAAUCAAUUCUUAGGAAAUCGCGAAUAAGAUCAUUUGCUCUUACCUCAACAAGGGAAGCACCAGCCUUUUCUUUUUCUUCUUGUUCCCAACUCACUACUAAGCAAGUUCUAACAAAUUGACUAUUUGUGUGAUAAAUUCUUUGAGUUAACUUGCUAUUUUCAUGAGAAAUAAAAUUGACAAGUCGAAUUUGGAGAUUAUUUUCUUCUUGCAAGAGAUCCUGCGGGAAAAGUGUUGCUAAAUUUCUUCCUUCGUCCAUUUCAUAUGCCACUGUAGGGCGAACGGAAACAAAAUACUUUUCCUUGCUCUUGAGAAUUUUUUUCCGUUGAACAUAGACCCAAUUUUUCCUUUUUUGAUUCCUUAGAAUCUUUUUUUUGUCUUUCUGGCGGUAUCAAACAGCCACCUAAUAUCUUAUCCGCCUCUUCAGGAAAAUGAAUAUCUCCGGAAAAUAUUUUGAGUUCCGUAUGGCUUUUUUUUUCUCUUCACUCGGACCAGUCCGCCUAGUCGACUUCUUGUAUUUUUUGUGAGUUGUGUAUCCACUCCAAUAAUACUAUUGUCAAGUAUGUUUAGGGAUGAAGAUCUCGGCAAGAUAUGAAGUUCUUGAAGAAUGAAAAAAAACCGAUCUACUUCUUUUUGGUAUUUUAGACUAAAUUCUUUUGUUCCUCGAUGCUCAAUCAAACCCUCUUUUUUUAAGAUGGAAUCUUCCUCUGGGCUCUCGUAUUCGUCCUCUGAAUCUUCUUCUGAGUCUUCCUCUAAAGUACCAUAUUUUUCCUCUGCGCUUUCCCCGGGGCUGCCAUAUUCGUCUUCUGAGUCUUCCUCUAGAGUACCAUAUUCGUCCUCUUGGGUCCUAUAUUUGCUCUCUGGGCUCCCAUAUUCCUCUUCCGAGACUUUCUCUAAAGUCCUAUAUUCGUUCUCUGGGUUCCCAUAUUCGUUUUCUGGGCUCCCAUAUUCGUCUUCUAGGGUUUCAUAUUCGUAUUCGUCUUCUAGGAUUCGAUAUUUAGAUUCUUCUAGGGUUUCAUAUUCAUAUUCGUCCUCUCGGGUCCUGUAUUCAUCUUCUAGGGUCUCAUAUUCCUCUUCUGAGUCUUCCGCUCGAGUCCUAUAUUCUUCUUCUAGGGGUCCUAUAUCUAAAUUUAACAAUUCCUGAACCCUUUUUAUCUUUUCUGUAUCGGGGAUCGUCAAAAUAAGCAAAUAUAGUAUUUCUACGUAAAACACCCAUAAGGGGGAUUUCAAUCGAAAUUCCAAAACAGGAUAUUAGUUCUUUCUCUUGUUCUUGAUGAUAUUGUAAUGGAAUGACGAACCUAUUUCUUCGCUUUUUCGCCAACAAAUCUGAAUUAUCUUGAAAAAUAGAAGGAUAGAUAAAAUUCCAAUGGCCAUUGGACAUGAUUCGAUCCGACGUUGAAUAAUCAAGAAUUUCCCUAUCUUUUUUACCAUAAGUAUUCAUUUGAUCUUGAUCCUUGUGGAGUGAAAAAGACGCUAUACUGGAUCUGCACAUACUUACUGACAAUAUCCAUAAAUGGCUUGUUUUUGGUAAUCGGCGAAGAUUACCAUAUUGAUAUUCGGGCGCAUGGUAAACAUCAGUACUCCAGUGCAUUUCGUCGUCUGAUUCAGAAUAAAUAUGCUUUUGUACCCUUUCUUUAAAAUGUAAAGUGGACGUUCCGGCACGAAUCUCCGCAAUUACUUGUUCGGAUUUUACAUAUUGAUCAUUUUGCACUAGAAUCAAGCUUUUUGAGGGAAUAUUCAUACUAUAUAGAAUAUCUUGACUCUGAAUAGUUACAUGCAAGUCUAUAUAACGUAGAAAAGCAGGCUGCCCAUGACGGGUACGUGUGGGGUGAACCAAAUUCUCAUUGAAUUUUAUUUUUCCAUUCGAAGGGGAUCGUACAAGGUCGGCAGUACCCCCUGUGAAUACUCCGCCAGUAUGAAAAGUUCUUAAUGUUAGUUGAGUCCCUGGCUCCCCAAUUGAUUGACCUGCAAUAAUACCUACGGCUUCUCCCAAUUCGACCAGAUCACUAUGAGUAGGACUCCGGCCAUAGCAUAAUUGACAGAUCCAAGAAGUGCUUCGGCAAGUAAAGGGGGUUCUAAUAUAUAUUGGUUGUGCUCGAAAUGGUUGUGCUCGAAAGGCAGUUAUGAAUCGAUUGACUAAUCCAAUUCCAAUAUCUUGAUUUCGCGCGGCAAUGCAUCGUGAACCGAUAUAUAUAUCGUCUGCUAAUACACGACCAAUUAGUGUUUGGACAAAAAGUUUUUCCGUCAUCCCAUUUUGAGGACUUACAGAAAUACCUCGGAUAGUACCACAAUCUCUUCUACGCACAAUAAUAUGUUGAACUACUUCAACAAGACUACGUGUAAGAUAUCCAGCAUCUGCUGUUCGCACAGCAGUAUCUAUAACCCCUUUGCGGGCUCCAUAGCAGGAAAUUAUAUAUUCUGUCAAAGAAAGUCCCUCGCGUAAAUUACUUUGAAUAGGUAAAUCAAUCAUUUGUCCUUGAGGGUCCGACAUUAAUCCUCUCAUACCUACUAAUUGGUGUACUUGAGAUGCAUUUCCUCUGGCUCCUGAAAAAGACAUUAGAUAGACUGGAUUAGAAGGAUCUGUUAUCCGAAAAUUUGAAUUCAUUUCUUGUUUCAAAUAUUCGCUUGUCGCAUACCAUAUCUCAACAGAUUGGCGUAAUUUUUCUACCACGUGUACAGCCCCAUAAUAAUAGUGUUUCUCCAAAAGAAAAAUAUGUUGUUCCGCGUCUUGGACUAACCAUCCCUUAGAGGGUAUUGUUAAAAGAUCCUCGAUUCCUAACGAAAUCGAUGUAGUAGUGGCUUGAUGGAAGCCCAGAGUCUUUAGUUGAUCCAGUAUAUGGGAUGUAUAUCCCAUUCCAAAAUGAUCUAUUAAUCUGCUAAUAAGUCGUUUCAUACCAGUUCCGUCUAUCUCUUUAUUAUGAAAGACCAGAUUGGCCCGUUCCGCCAUACAUAAGUACCCCCUUUUCGGCUGAGUAGGAUUCGACAAUUGCUGAGUAGGAUUCGACAAUGAGCCUGAGUCAGUGAUUCAAAAAUUUAAUUAACUUGCCUCAAUCUCAAUCUGGAUUCGCGUGGCAAAUAAUGAUGAUACUAGGGAAAUCGGAAUGCCCCCCGAAAGGGGAGGGGCAUCGCCGAAUCUAACUUUCUUGUUUAGGUAGUGUACGAAUAGGCCUGACUAAAUCCUUGUAUGGCUUCCUCUAUUUCUCUAUAAAAAGAAAUAUGACCAAGAGUGGUUCGAAUGUAUAUCGAACGAAUUUCUUUUUUUCUAUUUCCCAUUAUUAGAUAGUGGGCAUAAAUCUCAUGAUAAGUCCCCAAAGAUUCAUAUUGAACUUCAAUCGGAACUUCUCUUGACCCAAUGACGCGUUGAUCCAGGUUCCAUCGUAGCCACAAGGGACUAUCUAAACUGAUUAGUUUUUGUCUAUAAGCUCCCAGUGCAUCAUAAGAACUAGAAAAAUGGGGUUCUUUAUCUUUCCUAUAUUUAGAAUUAUUAUUAUUAUUGUAAUUUACUUUUAGAUUUGGGUAGUUUCUGUAACUAUUAUAUCUAUUUGCACAAAUACCUCGACGCUUUCCACUCGUUAAUACAUAAAGCCCGAUAAGCAUGUCUUGGGUUGGUACGCAAAUAGGAUCCCCAAUAGCGGGAGAUAAGAGAUUCAUAUGAGAAAACAUAAGUAAACGGGCUUCUGCCUGAGCUUCCAAGGAUAAAGGUAGAUGAACAGCCAUUUGAUCUCCAUCAAAGUCCGCAUUGAAACCCUUACACACUAAUGGGUGUAAAGAAAUAGUACGCCCCUCUACUAAAGUGGGUUGAAAGGCCUGUAUGCCUAAUCUAUGCAGGGUAGGUGCUCUAUUUAACAGUACAGGAUGUCCCCGCAUAACUUCUUGAAGUAUUUCCCAUACAAUGGGUUCUUUUUCCCAAAUUUUCCUUUUAGCAAUCCUUACAUUAGAAGUGGCGCGUUUCGUGAUUAAAUCGCGAAUUACAAAUAGCUGAAAAAGCUUUAUUGCUAUCUCUAGAGGUAAUCCAAUUGAUGUAAUGAAAGCGAAGGACCCACAACAAUGACAGAAUGCCCCGAGUAAUCGACCCGUUUCCCAAGCAGAGUCUCGCGAAACCUUCCCUCUUUACCUUCAAUUACAUCUGAAAGUGAUUUGUAUACUUUAUUGUGACCAUCCCUCGUCGGUUGCCCGCGGGACCCACUAUCAAGAAGUGUAUCCACGGCUUCUUGUACCAAUUUUUCCUGGCACAUUACUAAAUCUGCUGGCGCUAAUUCACUUCUUUUUAAUAGAUAGGCAAGAUUGUUGUUCCGACGGAUAACUCUCUUAUAAAGUUCAUUAAUGUCUGAAGUCACUACUUUAUCUCCAGACCUAUAAACAAUAGGUCUCAAUUCGGGAGGAAGAACCGGUAAUAAGCACAAAACCAUCCAUUCUGGUUCUACAUUUGUUUGAAUAAAAUGUUUCGCCAAUUGCAUGCGUCUAAUCAAAAAACUUUUCUUAUUCGUCUUUUUCUAUCUUCCCACUCAUCUCCACUAUACCCCUCGUCUUCUAAUUCCUUCCAUUCUACCAAAGAAUUCUCUAUAAUAAUUCGCAAAUCCAAAUAUGCUAAUUGUUCUCUAAUAGCACCUGCUCCUGUCGCAAUUUCCCGAUUUUGAAAUGUUGCAAAGCCUGGGGUAGAAAAAAAGGGAGAAAUGUUGUGGUUACAGGAUGCAAUUUCCUCUUCGAAUAAACCUCGUAAUCGUAAAGAAGUGGGUUUUUUAGUGCUGGGCCUAGCAAAAGAGAAAUCGCCGUAUACUAGGCCCUCCAACUUCUUAAGAGGUUUAUCUAAAAGAUUCGCGAUAUAACUAGGAAGGCCUUUCAAAUACCACACAUGAGUUACGGGACAUGCGAGUUUGAUGUAUCCCAUUUGAUAUCUUCGUAUCCGAGAAUCCACAAAUUCUACCCCACAUUUUUGGCAAAAUCUUUCGUCUUCGUUUUCAGCUCCGCUCGCUCGAGAAUUGCCACAAGCGCAAAUCCCGCUUUUUAUGGGUCCAAAGAUUCUUUCGCAAAACAAUCCAUCUUUUUCUGGUUUGUCGGUUUUAUAAUGAAAAGUAGAGGGCCUUGUGACUUCGCCAACGACUUCUCCAUUAGGUAGGUUUUUGUUAGCCCAAGCCUUUAUUUGUUGAGGGGAAACGAGUCCAAUUUGAAGUUGUUGAUGUUUAUAUUGGUCAAUCAUAAAAUAGAAAUAAGAAAAGAAUUUAUAUUUAUUCCGAUCAAACUUCCUCCCUAUUAACCUGGAAGUUCUUUUCAGAUACAAGGAAAUGAUUCAGUUCUAGAGCCAAAGAUCGUAGUUCUCGAACGAGCACUCGAAAAGAUUCUGGAGGAUCCUCAUGAUUAGGUAUUCUUUUUCCCCAGAUCGUAGCAUUAAGUAUUUCUUGGCGAGCUAUAAGAUGGUCAGAUUUAUAAGUAAGUAUCUCUUGUAAAAUAUGAGCAACACCAAAUCCUUCUAAAGCCCAAACUUCCAUUUCUCCUACUCGUUGUCCCCCUUGCUUGGCUCUUCCUCUAACCGGUUGUUGUGUAACAAGUGAGUAGGGCCCAGUAGAACGCCCAUGAAUUUUCUCAUCAACUUGAUGAAUUAAUUUUAAGAUAUAGGACUUCCCCAUUAGGUAGGUUUUUGUUAGCCCAAGCCUUUAUUUGUUGAGGGGAAACGAGUCCAAUUUGAAGUUGUUGAUGUUUAUAUUGGUCAAUCAUAAAAUAGAAAUAAGAAAAGAAUUUAUAUUUAUUCCGAUCAAACUUCCUCCCUAUUAACCUGGAAGUUCUUUUCAGAUACAAGGAAAUGAUUCAGUUCUAGAGCCAAAGAUCGUAGUUCUCGAACGAGCACUCGAAAAGAUUCUGGAGGAUCCUCAUGAUUAGGUAUUCUUUUUCCCCAGAUCGUAGCAUUAAGUAUUUCUUGGCGAGCUAUAAGAUGGUCAGAUUUAUAAGUAAGUAUCUCUUGUAAAAUAUGAGCAACACCAAAUCUUUCGUCUUCGUUUUCAGCUCCGCUCGCUCGAGAAUUGCCACAAGCGCAAAUCCCGCUUUUUAUGGGUCCAAAGAUUCUUUCGCAAAACAAUCCAUCUUUUUCUGGUUUAUCGGUUUUAUAAUGAAAAGUAGAGGGCCUUGUGACUUCGCCAACGACUUCUCCAUUAGGUAGGUUUUUGUUAGCCCAAGCCUUUAUUUGUUGAGGGGAAACGAGUCCAAUUUGAAGUUGUUGAUGUUUAUAUUGGUCAAUCAUAAAAUAGAAAUAAGAAAAGAAUUUAUAUUUAUUCCGAUCAAACUUCCUCCCUAUUAACCUGGAAGUUCUUUUCAGAUACAAGGAAAUGAUUCAGUUCUAGAGCCAAAGAUCGUAGUUCUCGAACGAGCACUCGAAAAGAUUCUGGAGGAUCCUCAUGAUUAGGUAUUCUUUUUCCCCAGAUCGUAGCAUUAAGUAUUUCUUGGCGAGCUUUAAGAUGGUCAGAUUUAUAAGUAAGUAUCUCUUGUAAAAUAUGAGCAACACCAAAUCCUUCUAAAGCCCAAACUUCCAUUUCUCCUACUCGUUGUCCCCCUUGCUUGGCUCUUCCUCUAACCGGUUGUUGUGUAACAAGUGAGUAGGGCCCAGUAGAACGCCCAUGAAUUUUCUCAUCAACUUGAUGAAUUAAUUUUAAGAUAUAGGACUUCCCUAUUAGAACAGGUUGCUCAAAGGGGUCGCCUGUUCUUCCAUCAAAUAUUCUGCUUUUUCCCGGGUACUCGGGUUCAAAUACCCAUGGAUUUUUUGUUUCUUUACUGGCUUCAUAUAAUUCUGAAAACACAAGUUUUCUUGAAGCCUCUUGCUCAUAUCUCUCAUCAAAGGGUGCUAUUCUAUAAUGUUUCUUUAGCAGAUCCCCCGCUAAUCCGAGCGAGCUUUCAAAUAUUUGUCCCACAUUCAUUCGGGAGGGUACUCCUAAGGUAUUGAAGACCAUAUCAACGGGUGUUCCAUCUUGCAAAUAGGGCAUAUCUUGCCUAGGCAAAAUUUUGGAAAUGAUCCCUUUAUUCCCAUGUCUUCCGGCUACUUUAUCCCCAACUUUGAUUUCACGUUUCUGUAAAAUAUAUACACGAACCAUUAUGUCGAGCGGGUCCCUUUGGAUCCAUUUCACAUCGAUAACGCGCCCUCUUCCACCUAUAGGUAAUUUCAAAGAAGUUUCUUUUGAAGUGGAAACCUCAAGGCCAAAUAUGGCCCGUAAUAAUCCAGCUUCCGCGAUAUAAGAUGAUUCGCUCGCUAUCUGAGGCGUUAAUUUACCUACUAAAAUAUAACCAGUUUCUACCCAGGAUCCCAACCUAACAACUCCAUUUCUGUCCAAAUUGCGUAGUAAAUGUUCUUCUAGAUGUGGUAUUUCUUUAGUGAUUUUUUCAGCGGAGCCCUGGCUUGUCGUAUCCGUCUGAAUUUCAUAUUUCCGGAUGUGAAAAGAGGUAUAAAUAUCUUCAUAUACCAAACGUUCGCUAAUUAGUACUGCGUCUUCAAAAUUGUAACCUUCCCAUGGCAUAUAAGCUACUAAUACGUUUUUUCCUAAAGCAAGUUCGCCCCCAACUGUAGCAGCUCCUUCUGCUAAAAUUUGUCCUUUUUUAAUGGAUUUACCUCGUGGAACCCGGGGUUUUUGGUGCAUACAAGUAUUUUUGUUAGAGCGACGGUGGUUAACUAAAGGAAUACUUAUAGUCUUCCCACUACUUGAUAAAAGUAUCUUAUGACUAUCAGUAGAAAUGAUCUUUCCCUCGCGUUCGGCUAUAAUGGAAACCCUCGAAUCUAGAGCUGUUUGGCGUUCCAAUCCAGUUCCAACAAUGCAUUUCUCGGACCGAGAAAGCGGAACUGCUUGGCGCUGCAUAUUAGAACUCAUUAAAGCCCGAUUCGCAUCAUUGUGCUCAAUAAAAGGAAUGAGAGAACCCCCAAUAGAAAAAUAUUGGAAAGGAAAAAUACUUCUAACAUGAAUCUGUUCCCAUGCAAUAGUCAAGAAUUCUUGACGGUAUCUAGCCGGAACAACCUGUUCUUCCUGAAUACCUUGAUUCAAGCACAAAGAAUUUCCUGCUGCUAUGAGAUAAUAUUCAUCUCUAUUUGGUGAUAGAUAAACCACCUGUCUCUCUUUUUUUUCUUUUGCUUUCUCAGCAGAUAUUUCAUAAAACGGACUCUCUAUGGAUCCCCACAAGUGAUCAAUUCUCGCAUGAAUUGCUAAGGAUCCAGUAAGUCCAACAUUGAUUCCUUCAGACGUGUCAAUUGGACAAAUACGCCCAUAGUGACUCGGAUGAAUAUCUCGGCUCCGAAAACUUGCGGUUCUCCCCGUCAACCCUCCAGGACCUAAACAACUCACUUUUUGCCCAUGAACAGUUUGUGUCAAUGGAUUCGUUUGAUCAAAAACUUGAGAUAACGGGUAUGUGCCAAAAAAGGUCUCAUACGUAGUUAUUAAUCAAAUUGAAGUUGAAGUUGGAGUUACCAAAGUUUGGGGAGUCGGUUUCGAUUGACGUAUGAAUACUCUACGAAUAGUUUUUUGAACUGCAUGUUGUAAACGACCAAGAGCCAAUCCGAAUUGAUCUUGUAACAGAUCUGCAACCGAACGAAUACGUUUAUUUUUCAAGUGAUUCAUAUCGUCAUCGUCAAGUAUACCCGUUCCAAAUUUCAUUCCAAUCAAAUGAUCCGUAGCGGCCAAUACAUCUCGUGGUAACAAGAAUGUAUUGUUCUGAGGUAUACCAAGAUUAAGUCUCCGAUUCAUAUUUCAUCGACCAAUCCUUCCUAAUUCACAUUUUUGUUGAAAAAAUUUCUUUUGUAAUUCCUCGCAUAAGGACUCCGAAAAUACCAGGUCCCCACCUACACAAGCAAAUUGUUGAUAAAACUCCAAAAUAGCUUUUUCUUUUGACUCAAUCCUCUUCUUCUCCUUAGCAUUCGGGAAAGACAAGAAAAUUUCAAGGUAGGAAACAUUAUCUAGAAUUUCUCUUAGAUUCGAACCCAUAGCUGAUGAUAGAACUAGAAUAGAUAUCUUUUGUUUUCUACUCACGCGAGCCCAUAUCCUUUCUUUUUUAUCAAUUGCUAAUUCCGAUCUGCCCCCCCCCCCAAUCUGAUAUUAUAGUGCCAGUGUAGAUAGAAAUUCCCUUAUGAUCUAAUUCCGAGCAGUAGUAAAUAGCAGGACUUAGCAAUAUUUGCUUGAUCACAAUUCGGUAUAUUCCAUUUAUAAUAAAGGUUCCUAAGGAAUUCAUUAUAGGAAUGUUUCCGAUAGAAAUGGUUUGCUUUUGCACAUCGAAACCAAAAAUUAAUCUCGCAGAUACAUAUAAUUCGGAAGAAUAGGUGAGUGAUUCAUACACAGCAUCUCUUUCUUUUAUCGAGGGUUCUAGCAAUUGAUAUUCUUUCGCAAAUAAUUGAAAUGCAAUUUCGUGAUCUGGAUCUUUAAUUGUUGGAAACUUGUCAAGUUCUUCUGCUAAGGCUUGAUUAAUGAACCUACAAAAUCCCUCGAAUUGGAUCUGACUAAAUCCGGGUAUUGUGGACAUUCCCUCGUUUCCAUUCCGGAGCAUCUUAAUCUUAUGUUUCCUGUUUAUCAAAGAAAAAUUCCAUUAUCAGCUCACUCUUCAUCAAUCCCUCUGGAUCGAUCUAGCAAUCAUGGAAUCUAUAUUCUGUUUACUGAAUCACAUGAAAUUCUAGGGAACUCCACAUACGUAUUUCAUAUAUGUAUUUCAUACAUAUGAAUAGAGACCAUUUGGACGAAAGUUCGAGUUUGCCAGGGGUACAAAUGAAAUGAAAAUGAAUUGAUAAAACAUUCCAAAAAACAAAAUUCUGCCACUUAUACUUUAUGUUAUGAUAUUCUAAUCAGAUUGGAUGGCAAAGAUUUCUCAUUUUAUCUCCUUUCUAUGAAUGUAAUAAAGCCGUAAUAUAAUAUACUAGAAACUUUGACUUUACUUCGAUUUAGAAUAGCGUGCUUACUUUAAUUUCUCAAAAUAAUUUGUGGGUUCUUUUUUAUUUCGGAUCGGAGUAGUAUAAUUGCUAGAAAAUUCAGUAUUUCAUUGUGGAAUUCUAAAAUCAAGUAAGUCCCUUUUUUAAGUACAUGCCAAUCUAGUUAUCCACCUCUCCCCAUAUCCAUGCUUUUCUUUUAUCGUAAUUUCACUUGGGUAGGCCAGUAAGGUUAUACUCUAUAUCAGAGCAAAUUUCCUUUUUUUAUUCAAGAUAUUUAAUUUAAUACUUUGAAGAAUUAAAGCAUGAUUCCCCAUAGAGAUAUGUACAUAAAGGGGAUCUUUGGAUAACAAUGCUGUUCGGACCUAAAGUUUACCUAUACACGGAUUAAGCAUAAAGUCAUAAUAUUUUAUUAUGCCAUUGAAGGGGGGGAGAUAAUACCGAUUUAAGAGUAGUUCACUACUGCAAUAAAAAAAAAGAUAAUUCUAGUUAACGGUUCCAAUUUAUUCUGAAUUUUGCAACCUGUGAAUAGAAAUCCACUUUUUCUUCUUUUUCAUCUCAAUAGAAAGAAAUGGGAAGUUUUAUUGUGUUAACAAUGUAUGUUUUAAGAUAGAAUCUAUCGAGGAGAAUAAUAGAAACUGGAUCAAAAAAAGCAGGAAUAGAUGUUUUGAAAAAGAUUGGAAAAAGUAAGUAGAAUUAUCUUCAAAAUAAAAGGGGCUUUUCGUAAGAAAACGUGGAUGAAUACUUGCUGUUUUCUAGAUUUUUGAUCGGAUUUUUUGGCGGCAUGGCCAAGCGGUAAGGCAGGGGACUGCAAAUCCUUUAUCCCCAGUUCAAAUCUGGGUGCCGCCUGAUCAAUAAAAUACUUAGGUUUUUUUAUAGUGCUGAUCGAAUUCGAUCAAUUUUUACUUCGCAUAAGUUCGGGCAAGAGAGUAACUGGGCCUGCCGAUACUGGGUUUAGAGAAACCAUACCAUAGUUCUAUCCUCAAACUAGGGUUAGGGUUUGUUUUGACGGUAGUGGCCAAAAUGGUUAUCAAUAGGGGAGAGGUAGUGUUUCCUUAUUCUUUUAUUAUAUGAAUUUGAAUUGGUUCUUAAUUGAGAUUCGAUUUGAUAAUUUUAAAAUACGAGGAUAAGAUGUCAGAAAUCUUGGUAUCCAAAGAAAGGUCCCUAAGGGGCAUUCUUUUUUUUCAAUCUAGGAUUCAAGAAGGGACUCCACGAAAGAAUAUCAAGACUUACUAAUUAUUAUACAUUUUUUAAUCGUACAUCUUAUGUUACCUACAUACACUAAAGUAAGGACUACUUAAUUCUAACGAGAAUCAGAUUAAAUAGGUCGAUCAAAAAUCAAUUUAGGAGUAGUGUUAUGGAUAAAAUCUCUUCCUCUUCAUUCUUUCAUAGAAUGAUACAAAGCAAGGCUGCAGGGUUUAGGUCAAAAAUAAACAUUAGGUAAGGUAGGUAUCCAAUAAAUAUUUAUCUAUUGUUAAUUUUAUGGUAUAUUCGGGCGUCCUUUGCUUAAAAAAAAGAGUAACAAAAGGAAUAAAAAAUCUUCCUAUUCCCGCUUCUUCUAUUUAGGACAUCAUUCCCGUACUCUUUCUUUUUUACGGAAAAAAGGGCUAUAGUAUCGUAUUUUUAAUGCUCUCUAAUUCUACCAGAAUUCCUAUAAGAAUUUGUUAGGAGUAAAUUCCUUGAACUGAUUGAUCCAUGGCCUUAGGGUGGAAUCCCUUUUUAACUCUGUACCCUUGAUUCCACUAUGAUUAUUGAUCAAUAGUAGAAUAGAAUAAUCCCUUCAUAGAAAUAGGAGACAUAAUUUAGAUGGAUAUAGUAAGUCUCACUUGGGCUGCUUUAAUGGUAGUCUUUACAUUUUCUCUUUCACUAGUAGUAUGGGGAAGGAGUGGACUCUAGGGAUCCUACU